rnacentral:lncRNA from 1 species
ACAGAAGUUUGCGGUCCUUGCCUUCUUAAUUAAGUAUCAAGGUCAAUUAAACUUUCUAGUGAGGUGAUAUGUUGGUGUAUUAUCUGUCAUGACAUUUGGUCUUUGUGAAAGUCUGAAAGACUUCCAAGACAAUACCAUGUGAUCUUAUAUAUCCUCUUGUCUCUUUGUAUAUUCUUUGUCCCCAACCUAAUCCUAUACUAUAGGACUAUAGGAUACACCUUCACCAAUCAUUCAAGUAGCCAACUGUUUCUCAAUAUGAAUUCUUUCAUCUAUUUAUAUUCAAGGCUACAAGCAUUUAGGACCAACACAAAACAUUCACAUCCUAAAGCAUUCAGUUUUCAAAAACUUGUUAUUGCUACAAUUUAUCUUAUUUUAAAACAAUUUCUUCUCAAGUUUUAACACAUACAACAAUGGGUUUUCGUGUCCCUAGUAUCAUCAGAAAGUCAUCAUUUUCUGCAAGCCGAGUAAUUUCAAAAGUUGUGGAUGUGCCAAAGGGAUAUCUUGCAGUGUAUGUUGGAAAACAAAAGCGAUUUGUGAUCCCCAUAUCAUACUUGAACCAACCAUCGUUUCAAGACUUGUUGAGUCAAGCUGAGGAAGAGUUUGGAUAUGAUCAUUCCAUGGGUGGCCUCACCAUUCCUUGCACAGAAGAUGUCUUUCAACACAUAACAUCUCGCUUGAACGGAAUAUGAAUCUAACACAAAAAAGAGACUGACAUAGUUUAGUAGACUAGAGACAUUUUUGUAAACUAGGCCUGUUAUCAAAUUGUAAAGAUGGGAAAAAAGACCAUUAGAUUGAAAUUCUUUAUAUAGCGUAUAUAUUAUUUUGUUUAGUGAAAACGAAUUCGACUACUCAAGCAGCUCCUCUACUUUUUUGGUUUAUUGCACUUCAGAACUUACAAAAUUCGAUUAUAUGAGUAAUUCUGCUUGCUAUAAGACAAAAAAUGAAUUGGCAUUCUGAAAAAUUUCAAAGCAGGAAUUGAGCACACACAUAUUCUUGGCAAAGGGCAGAUCAAAUUUAUUUUUCUUAAGACAAAAGGUGAAAUCUAAAUUUACCAUUUUUUUUUACUACAUAAUAUAGACAUGAAAUUAAAAUUUUGGAGUGCCAAAGCUUUAAUCUUACAUGAAGUACAUUCCUUUCAUAAACAAGUACACAAUACCAAUUCAUCAACAAGGGAAAUUAUUUCACUGAAUGACAUAGGCCUCAUUAUAUGGUUCCUGUUAGGAUAUCCUUAUCUAAAGAAUUGAAUGGUUAGUACUUACUUAGUGAGAGACAACAGCUCAAGAACCACCACAUGGUGCUGUCUUAUGACUACAAGUUUUUCUUGAAGUGUCACCUACGUAUUCAUUGCUGAAAUAACGACCUUGUUUUUUCUUCAAGACAUCUCAUAUUUUCACUUUUUUGUCCACCUUUCUUUGAUCUCUAUAUUGAUUAGUACUAAUAAAUUUUGUAUCGCUAACAUGGCGUUAUGACAGCUAAAGGAAAUCUCUUUAAUUGUUGGAACAUUAUUUGCACAUAACUAUUAGUCAUUUUGGUCUGAUAGAAGUUUAAAUUCAAUAUUGGUUGCAUGUUAUAAUGUCUUCUGCAGUCAAAAUCAAUGGCUUUCUUUAUCAUAACAGCUUGCAGGACUAGUACUUUGUGAAUAGCACGGAAAGUCCUUUUGAUUGUAAUAUAUGUUGUGAAUUCGGUCAAUUCCAAACUUCACAUCAAUAAAAUUUAGAUUCGUGGCAACCAACAACCAAAAAUUGAUUAACCACAAGCAACAACAACAAGUGCAUGGCAAAACCACAAUCCAACCAAAGAAUAAACAAGAUAAAGAGAGUAAAGACAAGAUAACAACACCAAAGAUUGUUGACUCAGUUCGGUCCAACUUGACCUAAUCUGGGGGAGAGAUUGAUCUCUCCAAUCCACUAUCAAUGAGUUUUUACAAAGAGAUACAAAUGGGUUACAAGAAAUUAGCUUCAACAAGCUCACAAAGAACAACCCUAAUUUCUACACAUUUUACCAAUCUCACCAAUGAACAAGACACUCAUGAUUUUCACUCUCCCUGUUUACAAUUGUUUCAAAACUCAAGAAUCUAACCCCCAAAAGAGAACCAACCCUUAGUCUUUGAUUUCACUAAGGAUCUUCUUUUUUGGUUUUACAAGACUCACCCAAAAAGACUCUCCACUCAUGUGUUUCCCAACCCCAUGAAUCUUCCCCAAAAGACACCAACCCCUUUCCCAAGAGCCCCUUCUUUUGGUUCUCCAAGAUUCACAUCUUAAAGCUUUGAACCUCACCCAAAGACCCUCAACCUUUAGUAUCUAAAACCCUAAAAGUUCCCUCCUUUGGUUUUCAUGAGAUUCACCAAGCUUACCCAACAAAUGGGUCAUGGAGUGCUUAUAUAGUGUUUAGAUCCGGACAAAAUCGUGUCACGAUUUCCCAAAUCGUGACACGGUUGAUGCGUACGACCCAAGGUACGACCAACCUUAUCCUGAAACCGUGCCGAACAAGUUGAAAAUCGUGUCACGUUUUCCCAAAAUCGUGUCACGAUUGAACACAUCAAGGAACCAUGCUCACUACCUGCCAAAUCGUGACACGGUACACAAAUCAUGUCACGAUCCUGAAUUUUGCUAAAAAUCAUUUUUGAGGCACUUUGCAACAGUAUAGUCUUCAUCAAUACCGCACUUUUUCCAACUGCACAAGCACUACCAUGCAACAUAUAAUUAAAUUGCAAACUGGUAAGAAAUUGUUGUAAGCUGGGAAUUUCCUAUAAACAACCACAUGCCUUGGUAGUUGGUUAGGCCCAUUCACUUAAUUCUCAGGUUUGUAACCUGUCCUCCUUGAAUCUAGUAAAUGUAAAUCUUAAACCAGUCAACUUCUCCUAUGAAGAUUUGUUGCCCUUGAUAUCUAAAGGGACAUGAAAAACUAUGGAAGAGUUUUACAUAUUAAGCUUUACAUGAAGAGAUAUAAUUGAUUGACAAUGUAAAACUUUUAUACGUUCUAAGUGCAUGUUUUGUCUUGUUCACCCCUUCGAACAUUUCUGUCAAGUGCCAAUAGUCAACACACAAUGCUGCUAUAUUAAUUCAUGACAUCAUGGUCACAUUAUAAUUUCAUUCAGGUUGCACUAAGAUGGUGUACUAACAUGGACCGAGAUUAAAAGCUUCAACAAAGAGAGGAUGCAAUAAAAUCUUGAUAUAUUUGAUUUUGAGCUGAGGAUAUGAUUCCCUUUGAUAUAAAAGGAACAUGGGAAGCUACGGAAGAUUGUUAUAGAUUGGUGCCAGCAGCUUUGGCAUAAAAAAACUCUCCAUAGUCUUACAAGAUGCAAUAAUCUCUCCUGCAGUUAAUCAGGUAGAAUAAGAAUUUAACACCAGUUGAUUUGGUUCAUCCUGACGGGUUAAACAGGGCGGAUCAAGAAUUUAACACUAGUUGAGUUGAUUUGAUCAUGUCUUGUUUUUUUGGCGGGUUAAACGGCACGGAUCAACUUAGUAGUGGAACACAGAACUUCAACUCGUCUCGCUGGAAAUUGCGGAUUCAACGGGAUGGCACAGCAGACUUGGCCCGAUUUUUCACUCAUACUUGAGUGUUUUCUCUUAGUGUUUUAUCAAUAAAUUUACGCAAUAAACUUAUCUUUUUAAUUUUGGAAUUAAUUCAUAUAAUUGAACGGAUUGUGAUACUUUAAUACUGUUCUAUAUAUUAGAAUUUCUUGAGAUCUGGAAAAAACUAAAAAUAAUUGAAGAGUUGUGAUAACAUUAUCAUUGAGGGAACAUUUUGUUUCCGUAGGAAUGAUUGAUACAUGGAAGAAACAAAAUGAAAAAAAAUAUUAAUAACAGAAAAAAUUGUCAUCUGAGCAAAUUAGCCUCAACUAAUCUAUCUUAAUCUGUAUCCAAAAAAAAUAAAAAUCUAUCUUAAUCUCCAUUAGCAUGAUUUACAAAUCACUUAAGCGAGAAGUGAGUUGUAAGAAAGCAUCUUCACCGCAAGGAAUUGUAAGACCACCCAUUGGAUGAUCAUAUCCAAAUUCUUCUUCUGAUUGAUUUAGUAAUUCUUGAAACGAUGGCUGGCUCAAAUAUGAUACUGGAAUCACGAACCGCCUCAUUCUAUCUCCAACAUAGACUGCGAGAUAGCCUUUUGGGACUUCAAGUCCCUUGGCAGUCUCUUGUGUUUUGGAAAAUGAUGGCAUUCUGAUAAGCUUUGCUAUGCGGAAACCCAUUGUUUUUAUUAUGUAUGGCUCCUCACAAAAAGAUACUGAUGAUGGCAGAGGAUUGGAUGAGAAAGAAAUAUUUGAAUUCUUAUAAUUCAGAAUGCAAAAGAUUUAUGUUGAUUUGAGAAUCCAAGGAAUAAUGUAUAUAUAGUUUCUAAGGGCCUCUACAAACCAAUUAAUCAGUGAAUGUAAUUUGGUGAGCUGUGAUAGGGUCAAGUGAAGGACAAGGGAUCACAUGGUAUUGUCCUAUACAUAUUUUUUCAAGGAUUAGGAAGCUUAAUGGAAGAGCAUGCACAUACCCCACAUUGUGAGAUAAUGGCCAACAAAUAACCCUACUUGAAGUUUGAGACAAUGCAAUGGUGAAAGAAACCUGAUGUUUUUUCUUGCAUUUGGGUAUAGAUAAUCCAAUUGUAGACAUGCUUUAGACAUCUCACAUGUUUCUUCUAAUUGACAUUGCAGCAAAUAUACAUCUACCAACUGAAUAUAUAUCAUAUUUAUGUGAAACUUAUAAGGUUGUGUAGGACCUGAUUGAUAGCUUAAAAACAAAGACUGUGAGGAGGAAAAAAGAAAAUCGAUAUUGAACACAAGAUCAUGAUAUUUGCUUACCAGAACAGAACUUCGCGGUCCCUGCCUUCUUAAUUAAGUAUCAAGGUCAAUUAAACUUUCUAGUGGGGUGAUGUGUUGGUGUAUUAUCUGUUAUGACAUUUAGUCUUUGUGAAAUACUUCUAAGACAACACCAUGUGAUCUUAUAUAUGCUCUUGCCUCCUUGUAGAUUCUUUGACCCUAACCUAAAUUUUAAUUCUAUACUAUAGGAUACCCCUCCUUCACCAAUCAUUCAAGUAGGCAACUGUUUCUCAAAAUUAGUUCUUACAUCUAUAUAUAUUCAAGGCUACAAGCAUUUAGGACCAACACAAAACAUUCACAUCCUAAAGCAUUCAGAUUUCAAAAACUUGGUCUUUGCUUAAAAGUUUAUUUUAUUUUUAAACCAUUUCUUCUAAAGUUUUAACACAUACAACAAUGGGUUUUCGUUUCCCUGGUAUCAUCAGAAAGGCAUCAUUUUCUGCAAACCGAUCAGCUUCAAAAUCUGUGGACGUGCCAAAGGGAUAUCUUGCAGUAUAUGUUGGAGAGAAACAGACGCGGUAUUUAAUCCCCGUAUCAUACUUGAGCCAACCUUCAUUUCAAGGCUUGCUGAGUCAAGUUGAGGAAGAGUUUGGAUAUGAUCAUCCCAUGGGUGGCCUCACCAUUCCUUGCACGGAAGAUGUCUUUCAACAUAUAACUUCUUGCUUCAAUGGGCUAUGAAUCUGAGACCAAAAGAGUCUGACAUAGUUUAGUAGAGACAUUUUUUGUAAACUAGGCAUCUGAUGAAUUUAUGGAGUAUAUAUAUAUUUUUUGUUUAAUGAAAACGAAUUCGACUACUCAAGCUGAUCCUCUAUGUUUAUGUUUAUUGCACUUGCUAUAAGAAGAAAUUUUUUUUCCCUAGGACAAAGGUGAAACAUAAAUUUACCGAAGUGUACAAUAACAAUUCAGUAACAAAGUCAAUUGUUUCACUGAAUGACAUAGGCUGCAUUCUAUGGUGCCUGUUAGGAUAUCCUUAUCUAAAGAAUUGAAUGACUCAGGAGGCUAUAUGACUCACUAACCACCACAUGGUGUUGUCUUAUAGAUUUUCAUCAAGAGACACAAGAGAUUUUAGAAUAAUGGCAUUUUUUUUUUAGAAUAAUGAAUAAACAAGUAUUAGCUGUUGACUUGCUGUACAUAUUUCUGUUUAAAAAAAAAUUCAAAUGGGUACCUACUCGCUCCUUCAUCAGAAUGUGGGGCAUUCAACAUGUAUAAUUUUUUCAUCUUUGAUUGAAGACGUCCUACACAAUACCAUGUGAUCCUUCACCUUACUUUGCAUAGGCCUUCAAUCAUUUAUGAACCUAGUGGUUUUCCAAACAAUAAACUUAUAAAUUCAAGUAUUGCACAUACUUCCUAAUCAUAGUCUAUCAUUGUAACUUUUCCUUAGUUAUUUAUGUUAUAUUUAUAUUCAGAUUUCAGACUCAAUGUUAAAAUACAUUUUUUUUUUGAUGAAAAAUCCAAAACCUUUUUUUCCAUCCUUUUUAUUUCAAAUGUUUACAUAUAACUUUUAAUAUGUACUUCAAUAUAUGCACGAAAUGUUUCUAGUUACCUUGAAACACAAGUAACUUACUAGUGUUUCCAAUACAGUCAGGAACAGUUGCAUUCUUAUGAUCUUAAAUUCAUGAUGUUAACUUUGGACUAACAUCUAAUAUUAUUUGAUCAAUAAAUUUGUUGUUGAUCCCAAGGAAACAUAUUUAAGCAAUAAAUUUAUUUUCGUUUUGAUUCUGGAAUGAGUUCAUAUAACAAAUUAAUGAUGCUGCUGUAUAUCACAGAAUUUGUUGAAAUAUAGAAAAAGGUAAAAAUGAUUUAACAAUAUCUUGUCAUAGCAUUCUCAUUGAGGGAACAUUUUGUUUCCAUAGGAAUGAUUGAUACAUGGAAGAAACAAAAUGAAAAAAAUAUUCAUGACAGAAAAAAAAAAUGGUUCUGUGCUAAUUAGCCUUAACUAAUCUAUCUAAGUCUGAUUAGCAUGAUUUACGGCUCAAUUCAAUCGAGAAGUGAGUUGUAAGAAAGAAUCUUCACUGCAAGGAAUUGUGAGACCACCCGUUGGAUGAUCGUAUCCAUCCAAAUUCUUCUUCUGCUUGAUUUAGUAAUUCUUGAAAUAAUGGUUGGUUCAAGUAUGAUACUGGAAUCACGAACCGUUUCAUUCUAUCUCCAACAUAGACUGCGAGAUAGCCUUUUGGGACUUCAAAUCCCUUGGUAGAUGCUUGCGUUGAGGAAAAUGAUGGCAUUCUGAUAAGUUUUGCUAUGCGGAAACCCAUUGUUUUUUUUUUUUUUUUUUUUUUUUUAUGGUUAGAGGAUUUGGAUGAGAAAGAAAUAUUUGAAUUCUGAUAAUUUAUGAUGCAAAAGACUUGUGUUACUUGAGACCCAAAGAGUAGUGUAUAAAUAGUUGCUAAGGGACUCUACAAACCAAUUAGCCAAUGAAAGUAUUUUGAUGAGCUGUGAUAGGGCCUAGUGAGGGACAAGAGAUCACAUGGUAUUGUCUUAUAGAAGUCAUUUUCAAGGAUUAGAUGAAGUUAAAUGGAAGAACAUGCAAAUACCCCACUUUGUAACACAAAGGAAAAAUUAAAGACAGUGGAUUGAUGAAAGAAACCUGAUGUUUUCUGCUAUAGCUAAUCCAAUGGUUGACAUCCAUUAGACAUCUCAUAUGUUUCUUCUAAUUGAUGUUAUAGCUAAUAUACAUCUACCAGCUAAAUACAUCUCAGAUUUGUGUGCAACUUGUUAGGCUUGUGUUGGAACAGUGUGAGGAGGAGAGAAGAGAACCGAUAUUGAACACAAGAACAUGAGCCACUAUGAACCACAUUUUAUAUUUUUGCAUGACAGACUCCACAAAAUUUGCAUACCAGAACAAAACUUUGCGAUCCCUGCCAUCCUAAUCAAAUAUGAAGGUCAAUUAAACUUUCUAUUCCAUGAAUAGGUCUGUUUUAUGGUAGGGUAGGCCUCUAAGACAAUACCAUGUGAUCUUAUAUAUGCUCUUGUCUCCUUGUAGAUUCCAUGACUCCAUCCUGAUCCUAUACUACAGUAUAUACUUCCACUAAUAAUUCAAGUAGCCAAUGGUUUCUCAAAAUUCUUUUAUCUAUAUAAAUUUUAUAGGUUAGAACCAUUUAGAACCAACUCUAAUCAUUCACAUCCUAAAAACAUUUGCAAUUUGAAAAACUUGGCUAUUGCUUUUAAUUUUUUUCUAAAACCACUUCUUCUAACUUUUUAACACAUACAACAAUGGGUAUCCGUUUCUCUGGUAUUAUCAGAAGGGCCUCAUUUUCUGCAAACCGAGCAAUAUCAAAAGCUGCGGACAUGCCAAAGAGAUAUCUUGCUGUAUAUGUUGGAUAGAAACAGACACGGCAUGUGAUCCGCAUAUCAUACUUGAACCAACCUUCAUUUCAAGAAUUGUUGAGUCAAGCCGAGGAAGAGUUUGGUUACAAUCAUCCCAUGGGUGGCCUCACCGUUCCUUGCACGGAAGAUGUUUUCCAACAUAUAACUUCUCACUUGAAUGGACUAUGAAUCAAACACCAAAAUAGACUAACGUAGUUUUAGUAGAGAUAAUUUUUUGUAAUCUAGUUAUCUUAUCAGAUUGUAAAGAUGAAAAAUGUCAUUAGAUUGACAAAUUUAUAGCAUAAAGACAUUUUUUAAUGACAAUGAAUUCGACUACUCAAACAUCUCCUUUGUGUUUUUGGUUUAUUGCACUUAAAAACUUAUGAAAUAUGACUAUAUGAGUAAUGUUGCUUGCUAUAAGAAAAUUAAGGGACUAGGUAUCCUGAAAAUUAAGGGAAUUUUUAUUUAUUUUUAAUUUAUUUUUAAUUUUUUUUAUAAACUACAUAACAUUUUCAAAGCUCUUCAUCAAUCAUUUGUGUACCAAAUGGUUUUCCAAACCACUCUUUAUCUAUAUAUAUUUAGAGAUGAUUAUGGUUGCUGUCAGAAACAAUUAACUUCCUCUAAUCAUAGCCUAAUAUUUUAAUUUUUUUCCUAGUUAUUUAUGUUAAACAUAUAAUGGGCGACAUUGUUAUUGAGUAGGGUGAUGGUUCGUAACUAAAUACUAAAUAUUCAUAAAUCUAAAACCUUUUUCCAUCGUUUAUAUUGUAGAUGUUUACAUAUAAUUUUUCAUUAUAUACGCACAAAAUGAUUCUAGUAACCUUGACACACAAGUAAUUUAUUGCAGCCUUUCCAAUAUACUGUCAAGAAAAGUUGCAUUUAUGAUCUUAAAUUCAUGAUGUUAACUUGGAGUGUCUUCUGGUAAUGUUUGAUCAAUAAAUUUGUGUUUCAACAUGAGGAGAUAUAUUUAUGCAAUAAAUUUAUUUUCUUUUUGAUUCUGGAAUGAAUUCAUAUAGCAAACUAAUGAUGCUGUAUAUAAUAGAAUUUGUUGAGAUUUAGAAUAAGCUAAAAAUGAUUUAACAAUAUCUUGUACCAACAUUCUCAUUGAGGGAACAUUUUGUUUCCGUAGGAAUGAGUGUUACAUGGCAGAAACAAAAUGAACAAAAUAUUCAAAACAGAUAAAAAAAAAAAAGCCUUCUAUGCAAAUUAGAAUGAACUAAUCUAUAUUAAUCUCUAUUAGCAUGAUAUCUACAGCUCAAUUCAUGCGAGAAGUGAGGUUUCGGAAUUCAUCCUCGCUGCACGGAAUGGUAAGACCACCCAUUGGAUGAUCAUAUCCAUAUUCUUCUUCAGAUUGAUUUAGCAAUUCUUGAAAUGAAGGUUGGUUCAAGUAUGAUACUGGAAUCACAAACCGCCUCAUUUGAUCUCCAACAUAGACUGCGAGAUAGCCUUUUGGGACUUCGAAUCCUUUACUAGAUGCUUGUGUUGACGAAAAUGAUGGCAUUCUGAUAAGCUUUGCUAUGCGGAAACCCAUUGUUUUUUUCUUUUAUUGUUAGAGGAUUUGGAUGGGAAAUAUAUAUUUGACUUAUGAUAAUUUAGGAUGCAAAAGACUUACGUUGCUUGAGAACCCAUGGAAUAGUGUAUAUAUAGAAGCUAAGGAACUCUACAAAAUCAAUUAGCCAAUGAAAGUAUUUUGGUGAGCUGUGAUAGGGCCUAGUGACGGACAAGGGAUCACAUGGUAUUGUACUAUUGUCUUAUAGAAGUCAUUUUCAAGGAUUAUAGAUGAAGUUAAAUGGAAGAACAUUCAAAUACCCCACUUUGUAACACAACUAUGGAAAAAUUAAAGACAGUGGAUUGGUGAAAGAAACCUGAUGUUUGUUAUUGAAUUUUGGUAUAGCUAAUGCAAUGGUAGACAUGGUUUAGACAUCUCACAUCUUUCUUCUAAUUGACAAGGAAACUAAUAUACAUAUACCAGCUAAAUAAAUCAUAUUUAUGUGCCACUUGUAAAGCUUGCGUAGGACCUGAUUUAUAGUUCAGAAGCAGUGUUAGGAGGAAAAACGAGAACAAAUAUUGAACACAAGAUCACAAACCACCAGGAACCACAAUUUAUAUUUUUGCCAGACAAACUCCAUGAUAUUUGCAUACCUGAACGGAACUUUGCGGUCCCUGCCUUGCUAAAUAAGUAACAAGGUUAAUUAAACUUUCUCUUGCAUUGAUAAACCUGUUUUCAUGUAGGGAGAUAUAUGUUGGUGUAUUAUCUAAGACAAUUCCAUGCGAUCUUAUCUAUGAUCUUGUCUCCUUUGUAGAUUAUUUCUCGUUCACUAGUCAUUCAAGUAGCCAACAGUUUUUCCAUAUUCUCUUAUCUAUAUAUAUUAAAGGCUACAAGCAUUUAGGACCAACACAAAUCAUUCACAUCCUAAACCAUUCCAAUUUCAAAAACUUGCUUCUUGCUUACAGGUCUUUUUUUAAAACUGAAUAUUCUCAAGUUUUAACACAUACAACAAUGGGUUUUCGUUUUGCUGGUAUCAUCAGAAAGGCAUCAUUUUCUGCAAACCGAUCAGCUUCGAAAGCUGUGGACGUGCCAAAGGGAUAUCUUGCAGUAUAUGUUGGAGAGAAACAAAAGCGGUAUGUGAUCCCAAUAUCAUACUUGAACCAACCAUCAUUUCAAGACUUAUUGAGUCAAUUUGAGGAAGAGUUUGGAUAUGAUCAUCCCAUGGGUGGCCUCACCAUUCCUUGCACCGAGGAUGUAUUUCAACAUAUGACAUCUCGCUUGAAUGGCCUAUGAAUCUGACACCAAAACAGACUGACAUAGUUUAGUAGAAAUAUUUUUUUGUAUUCUAGUUAUCUCAUCAAAUUCUAAAAGAUGAGAAGGAAAUGACCAUUAGAUUAGCAAAUUGUAAAUAUGUUUUGUUUAAUGAGAAUGAAUUCAACUACUCAAGCAGCUCUUUUACGUUUUUGGUUUAUCGCACUUAAUGAACUUAUAAACUUAUGAAAUACGACUAUAUGAGUAAUGUUGUUUACUAAAAGACAAAAAUACUUUGUAUUCUGAAACAUUUCAAAGCAGGACUAGAACACAUAUUCCUACAAGGGUAUAGCAAAAUUAAUUUUCAUAGGACAAAGGUGAAACAUAAAUUUACAAAGUUUUCUUUUUAAUAACUACAUAACAUAGACAUGAGGUAACUUCCCUUCAUAAAGAACAAGUGCACAAUAACAAUUCAGUAACAAGGUCAAUUAUUUCACUGAAUGACACAGGCCUCAUUCCAUGGUCCCUGUUAGGAUAUCCUUAUUUAAAGAGUUGAAUGGUUAGUACUUAGUAGGCUAUAUUAUAUGACAGGGUUUAGUAUGAGACAAUGGCUCACGAACCUCCACAUGGUGUUUUAGAAUAAUGGCCCACUUUGAAGAUGAGUUGCCCACAUUUUUAUUGCUCGAAUAAUUACCUUGUUCUUUCAUCCACAUACACUUGUUUUGUCGUUUGCACACAACGUCAACUUGAUAUGCCACUGACUACCAUUAUCAAGAGUAAUUUUGAUACAACGUCACCUUUAGUCAACAAUCAGCUCUGAUACCACUGUUGGAUCAUGAGGGGAGCCUAGGGUUAAUCACAUUGGCCUAGAGCAAUCACAUAAGUGGCUUCGACAUCACAUCUUGAAUCAAAACCAUUUGCCAUCAGAUAAAUGAGUCAUUUGUCCUAACAAAUAAUGCAUCGCCAAAAUGAAGGAAUGAAUAUGACAGCUAAAGGAAAUUUCUUCAAUUGUUGAUACAUUAGCUGCACAUUACUAUCAGUCAUUGGUCUGCUAGAAGCAUAAAUUCAAUGGUUGCGUGUUAUAAUGUCUUCUGCAGUCAAAAUCAAUGGCUUUCUUUAUCAUAACAGCUUGCAGGACUAGUACUUUGUGAAUAGCACGGAAAGUCCUUUUGAUUGAAUAGUCUUCAUUGUUGUAUAUAUGGUGGGAAUUGAUUAUGAGUAAUCACAUGACUUGGCAGUUGGUAAGGACCCUACACACUUGAACUUUCAGGUGAAGUUUUCAUCUCUUCAAAGUCAUGAAUACAUAUGCACGCCAAUGAUCCUAUAGUCCCAACUAUAGUAUUAUAUGAUAUAAUGAGGAAGGGAAAGAAAGACCUCACACUAACAAUUAUUAAUAAUUAAUCAUAACCGUUGAUUGAUAUUAAAAUGGAAGGUCAAAAUUUGGAGUAACUAUAGAGACUUACUCUUGAUCUUGGAGUCAAUAUAUUCCUCCUCUAAUGAAAUAUAUCUUCAAAAUGGUUACGAUUUAAAGAAUUAAAAUAAAUCAAUGAGUUAAUAUAACCAUUGUCAAUGGACUAAAACAAUUUUAUUAAAGUAUUGCACAUGAUUAAACAAUUGUAGUGGAUGCCACAUGUAAUGUUUGUUUAGAAUGUCAAGGAGACAUGUCAUGUGUAUUUAGGUAUUCUAUUGAUUGUGAAUUGUAUGGUAUACAUAUGAGAUGUCACAAUUUUUUUUUUGUUUGAGGGAAUGUCACAUUUAACUAUUGUCAUGUAUUUAACAAUUGCACCAAUUUUAGUGAUAACCUAGUCACCAAGAAAACCCCUAUUAAAAAUAUUCAUACACGAUCUUGAUUUGGUCAUUGCUUUGGUCAUUAGGGAACAAAUAGUCAAAUAGUCAAUAAUAUAAUAAUUGUAAGGCUAAAAUAUGGUUUAGUCCCUGCAAAUAUGGCUCGUUUUGGUUUUAGUCCCUGCAAAAUAUUUUGUUUUUGAAAAUAGUCCCUGACCCCACUUUUGUGAUGAUUUGCAUACGUGGCACAAUAUAACUAAACCAAUUUUGUAGUUUUUGGUCCCUGCAAAAUAUUUUGUUUUUAAAAAAGGUCCCUGCAAAUAUUUUUGUUUUUGAAAAUAGUACAGGGACUAUUUUCAAAAACAAAAAUAUUUGCAGGGAUCAAAAAUAACAAUUUUUUUAUACAGAGACUAAAACGAAAAUGAGACAUAUUUGCAGGUAUUAAAACCAUAUCUUAACCUAAUUGUAAUAUCUUAUCUGUGUCUUAGACUAUCAUUUAUAAAUUAUAAACUCAAAUCUCAAAGUUAACAUUUAUAAGGGACAAUUGUGAAUUGUGUGAAGCUUGUGCCUUGAACCAACACAAAGAAGAAAAAAAAGAUGGAAACAAAGAAAGUUCCAGAGGUGGUACUAAAUUCAGGGAAAAAGAUGCCAAUGAUAGGCUUUGGAACAGGAACAACUCCUCCUCAACAAAUUAUGCUUGAUGCUAUUGACAUUGGCUACAGACAUUUUGAUACUGCUGCUCUUUAUGGUACUGAAGAACCUCUAGGCCAAGCUGUGUCAAAGGCUUUAGAGCUAGGCCUCGUUAAAAAUCGCGAUGAACUCUUCAUUACUUCCAAGUUAUGGUGUACUGAUGCUCAACAUGACCUUGUUCUCCCAGCUCUCAAAACCACCCUCAAGCAAGCAUAAUUUUCUUAACCUUUUUUCUACUUCUUUCUAGUUUGUGCAUUUUAUUACUUGCCUAAUAUUAUUGUUUUGGUUUUUUUGGAUUGAAAUUUUUAGAAAUCUGGGAUUGGAGUAUGUUGAUCUCUAUUUGAUUCACUGGCCAGUAAGGUUGAAACAAGAUGCUGAAAGCUUAAAAUUUAAAAAGGAGGAUAUGAUUCCCUUUGAUAUAAAAGGAACAUGGGAAGCUAUGGAAGAAUGUUAUAGAUUGGGCCUAGCAAAGUCUAUUGGUGUCAGUAACUUUGGUGUCAAAAAGCUCUCCAUACUCUUAGAAAAUGCCGAAAUCGCUCCUGCAGUUAAUCAGGUAAAAGAAUUUAGCACUAGUUGAUUUGAUUCAUUUUGACAUAUAGAUCAAAUACACUUAAUUGGUUGCCUAAGUCACUUCAAAAUCGAAAAGCAUCAGACAUGUAUAAACGUAUCCGAUACUGAUACAUGUCAGACACUUCCCUAUAUGAAAAGUAUCCAAUAAUUUAUUCUCAUUCUUUCUAGAAAUAUUUCCACUGAAACUUCUCGAAUACAUUUUCAUUACUUUCGUACCGACUAAGCACACAAUUGUCAUCUAUAUAUGAUACAUCUUACUAAUCAUAGAGACACAGUGUUAUAUGUUUUUGUUACAAAUUUUUGUUUGGAUUUAGGUGGAGAUGAACCCAUCAUGGCAACAGGGGAAACUAAGAGAAUUCUGCAAGCAGAAAGGAAUCCAUGUGAGUGCAUGGUCACCACUAGGAGGAUACAAACUAAGUUGGGGUUCGCCUACAGUGAUGGAGAAUCCAAUUCUGCACGAAAUUGCAGAGGCUAGAAAGAAGAGUGUAGCCCAGGUGCAGCUCAUUAUUUUAUUUCCUAUGUUUAGCCAAUUAAAAUUUUAAUAAGGUUUUUAAAAUAUACAUCCCUUAUUUGUUUUAAAAUUCAGCUUCUUUUUUUAAAUGGUCAAACUUUAGUCUUGGUCAUAGAAGUCCUAAUAUAAUAUCACAUCAUGAACCAGCUCUUCAAAACCUUAGAUUGUUAGGUGAGAAUAAAUAAAUGGUUCUAUAUUUGAUAUCUUUUAACAGUUGAAACUUAUCAAAGUCAUAUACAUAUACUACUACUACUACUAUAUUGAGAUGACUGUUACACUGAAAGAAAGUCUAUUUCUAAUAUUGACAUAUAUUAUGCAGAUAGCACUAAGAUGGAUAUACCAGCAAGGGGCAAUUCCCAUUGUGAAAAGCUUCAACAAGGAAAGGAUGAAACAAAACAUUGAAAUAUUUGAUUGGGAAUUGAACCAAGAAGAAUUAGACAAAAUCAGUCAGAUUCAUCAAAGCAGAUUUCAAAAGGCAGAAAUAUUUGUAUCUGAUAAUGGACCUUACAAAACCUUGGAAGAGCUGUGGGAUGGUGAUGUUUGAGCAAACUCUUGUUUGAAUAAAUGAUGGGAUCAUGGAAAGUGUAUGAGCUGCUGAAUAGUUAUAAGUAGUAAAAUAAUGCAAAAAGGGUUUUGCUCAAGAGAUUAAAGACAUCACAAAUAAGAUUUAAAUUGUACUCAAAUCCAAGUUCCUUAUGUAAGUGACCUUAAAUAAGAGAAAACACUAAGAAGGGUAAUCUAAAAACAUGGAUCUAAUGACUAUUCCUGGACUAGAGAAUCACAUGGCAUGCUAUCUCAAAUAACUGAUACAUUAUACUUCCUUUCAAUGUAUAAAUCAUGCUAAGGGUUAUCAAUCCCUACAAAGCAUGAAGUAUGAAAUCAUUACUUACAAUUUAAUCUUUAAAUUAAUCACGCGUAGAAGUUUAUUCUGUGUAUAAAUUCUUAUUGAUUAAUUCUACUUUAUCUCUCUUUAGCUCUUGUGAAGUACAGUAAUUUGAUCUAAAUUCUGUAAACUCGAAAAUUAACUCGUGCAUAUACUGAAAUUUAAAGACUAAACUUAAACCAGAAGUCAGUAGAUAUUGCCUUUCUUUGGCAGAAAACAACGUGGAUCCUACUCCACUAGUUCAACGGUCAAUUUCCUUCCAACAAAAUCAAAGCAACAGAGUUCUUUUAAUAAAUAUAUACUGAGUCCUAAGAUUGCGAUUGCGUAAAGGUUACUUAACAAUCCAACAAAUCUAUUACUGAUCCAAAACCAGUAGAGACUCCCAGAUGGUUUUGAAAUAAAACAUAUUUUCGUCGUUCAUAGUAAAGUAAAAUUUGUUUUUUUCGUGAAUUAUGGAAUAGGAAAAAAACUAAGCAUAUGCAAGUCAAAUAAGUCUCUUCGUAUUAUAUUUCUGCGUAUAAGUUUAAUUUGCAAUACAAAUUAACUGAAAAGUUUCCUAAGCAAGUCAUAAUCUCUCUGUUUAUAAUAACCUGACUCGGUUGUUUUUCUAUUUUUUUUCUUCAUUUAAAUAAGGUAGACUAAGUAAGUGCCUGCUGUACAAUUUUUCCUCAAAUAAUCUAUUUCAGUUCCUUCUUCUGAAGAUGUUAGCACAGAUUCAAACGAGAAGUAAUAUUUAAGAAAACGUCUUCUCUGCAAGGAAUUGUGAGACCACCGGUUGGAUGGUCAUAUCCAAAUUGUUCCUCGGCUUGAUUCAACAAUUCUUGAAAUGACGGUUGGUUCAAGUAUGAUAUUGGGAUCACAAACCUCUUCAUUUCAUCCCCAACAUAUACUGCAAUAUAUCCCUUUGGCACAUUCGUGCAUUUUGAAGAUGCUUGGUUUGAAGCCCUUUUUGAGACAACAGGUAAUCGGAAACCCAUUCUUGUAUAUAUGUGUUUUUAAAAGAAGAUAUUGAGCUAAGAGUGAAAGACUUGUGUAUAAGAAGAUUGUUUCUGAAUAUCAAAUAUUUUGGGUUGUGAAUGAUAUUGUGUUGGUUAUAAAAGCUUGCAGCCAUGAAUAUAUAUAUAUAUAGAUGAGUGAAAGGAUAUGGACCAAGCAGUCGGCAACUUGAAUGAUCAGUGAAGGAGGACCAUGAGAUUUGAGUCAUUGGGAGCCAUAGAACCUAAGGUAGACAAGGACAUAUAAUAGUUCACAUGGUGUUACCUUUGAAGAUUAUCUAAAGGGUCAACAUCAAAUGUCAAAAUAGUAGAUCAUGCAUGUCCCACCUCCUUAAGUAGAGGACAUCGUAUAUAUAAUUUUUGUUGUUGUUCAUAAAAAACAAUAUAUAUAUAAUUAAUCCACUUGAAAUAAAACGCAUGAUCACAAACAUGUAGUAUGGUGUAUGUAUGAUCUCUAGAUGUUGAGAAGAUAAAUGACCUACCAGCUGGACAUCAACAUUAUCAAGAUGAAGAAACAUGUAUAAUGCAUGUUUACAAAAUUAUGAAAACCAAUAAUUUGGAUGUAUUUAGAAAACCAAUUUCAAUACUUUUCUGUAACAUCGAAAAUUCCAGAGUUCGAUCCAUUUAUCUGUUUAAUGCUUUUUUUGACUAAACCAAACCAAUUUCAAUAGUUUAUAUAUAAUAAUAAGUCGAGCCUGUCAAGGUGAAAAAGUAAAAAUUUAAUUUUGAUGGUCGUUUGAUUCUUUUGAAGUCUGUCAUAUACAUCCUCUAUUAUUUUAUAAUGUUUUUUUUUUGGUGGGUCGAGGAUUUUAGAAAAAUUCUUUGGGUCAGUUGGGACUCUAUUUGUUUGGGCAAGGAGGUCAGUGGUUUGGGGGUUAGGAGAAGGCGGGAGUUUAACCUUGUUUUAUUAGGCAAAUGGUGUUAGAGGAUGUGUGUGGAAAGAGGGAGUUUGUGGUAUAAAAUUUUAGUGGUUAGGUAUACUGUGAGGUAGGGGGCGGUUGAAGGAAGGCAUGAGGGAAGUGACAGUGUGGGAGAUUUUCUUAAAUAACCCACACCCAUUUUAAUUUUCCAAACACAUAAAUCUCCCAUCAUUUUAUUCAUUUCAAUGACUUUAUAAAUAUACAAUUUAAUUUCAGUCAUUUUGGUUUGUUUGCAUCUGUUUUCUCUUUUUACAAUUAAGUUAAAUGAAGUUUUUUUCUCUCGCAAUAAACAAACAGUAACAACAUUUGGUUUUAACUACUAAAUAGAAUCAAACAUCGGCAAUUACAGAAGAGAUUAAAAGAGAAUAUAGAAAUGAGAAUUUUUUUUGUUGAUGGACAUUGUGGUUAAUCAAUGAAAAAGAAAUAAUAUUCGAUAUAUCCGUUUUAUUACUUUAGAGUUUAAAAAUUAAACCACCUUGACUAAGGAACAAUAAGUUGGGAAAAUUCACCAAAGUGAAAAAUAGAAAGAAAAAAAGGUCAAAAACUAAGUGAGUUCAUACUCGUAUGAAGAAGUUAAUUGCUCAAAAAAAAUGGAAUUAAUAAAGUUUAAACUGUGUUAUAUUAUAUGGGAGGUGCUUGUCAAUUUGAUAAAAAAAAAAAAGAGAGAUUAGUGUUUAGUUAAAAAAUAGAACGGGUGUUUGUGUUAUUUAAGAAAACCUUACGGGAGGUUAGUGUAAUUUGCCCAUAAUUUUUUUAAGAGUAAUUUGCCCAUGAUAAAAUCAUUGAAAUAAUUGUUAUUAAAUAAUAAAGAUUUCUUUAUUGAUAAAGAUGUCGUUAGAAGCCUCGUAUAUGAAUUGUACAAACUAUAUUAUUUAGUGAUUCAUUUAUCAUUUUUUUUAGUGUUUUUUAUAGUCAAGAUAUAAUAAUUAAUAAUCUACAACAAUAAAAAAUAUUAUUUUAUAAUAUGACAUGGUGGCCUGAGGAUUCAAGGUGCUUGUUUGCCUACACCUGUUUCUUCAACUCGAAAGAGCUUUUAUGCUUGCGGAUUUGUUCAGGGAGUUUUUGGCACUUGGAUUUUGAUAUCGUGUUGACAGUUGAUCCAUUUAUUGUUCUUCACAGAUGUUCAUUUUUAAUUUUUUUUUCAAAUAUGGCUUCGCGCCUGUAUACGGAUUCACCGGUUUGCGUCUGUGAUUAGUGAACUUUUUUAAAAUAGAUUAGGAUCGAUACAUUUGAUCUGAUUUAUUAUGUUGUAUCACCGUUUUGGGUUGCACCUGAUUCAGGACUAAUACCCCUAGCAUCUUUAUCUAUUUAUUUUUUUAUUUAAUAUAAUUUUCCUUUUGAAAAAAAAAUAAAAUAAAGAAAAAACAAAGGAAAAUUAUUUUUAAAAAAGAAGCAAUCUUGAAAACGUGUAAUUUUUUUGAAAAGUAGGCAUAUGCCUUCUAAUGAAUAUUUUGUAACUUUCUUGAAGUUAUGUUUCAUUUUUUUUUUUUUUUUUUUUUUUUUUUUUAAGAAUGAAGUUAUGUUAUUUUGUGAUUACCAAUCAUAUAUAAUUGAACAUUUUUUUCUUCUUUAUUUUGUUAGUGAAAAUAUUUUUUCAGUGUCUUGUUAGUAUCAACGAUAAUUGUCUCAACCGUAUUUUUUUAUUUUACUGAUAAGUGAAACAUAUUUAUUAAAAUUUAUAUUUAUAAAUAUUUUUUUAGAUUAAAUAUGUAAAUAAUUGUCAUUUUUUUAUUGAAUUACCUACAAAAGAAAAACUCAUACGAAAGUAGUUCUUUUUUUUGGUCAAGUAGUCUAGUGACUAGCUAGAGCUCACACAAUUAAAUUGUGGAGAAGUAGAAUGUUCGGGGUUCGAACCCUGACCUCUGCAUAUAAUAUUCAAUAUCCCUACAAAUUGCAAAGAGAAAAUAUAAUAGGAAGAUUGUUAUAUUGCAUUUCAGUAUCGUAAAAGAGAAAAUAUAAUAUGAAGAUUGUUAUAUUGCAUUUCAGUGUGAGAUAAAAGCAUAUGAACAUCAUAAAACUUUUUUUUUGGUACAAUCUUAAAACUUAUUUUUAACAAAUGUAAAUUGAAUAUAUGGUCCCCUUUUAAUAAGUAUCAUAAAACUUAUAUUGAUAUUCAAUCAUUUAGAGGUUAUUUUUAGAGCUUUUUUAAAAAACAUGAUCAAUUAUCACUACAAGAAAAAAAACAAGAUUUGCUACCCAAAACUUGCUAUAAAAUGUUUUUUUUUUUUUUGGUACUGAGCUAUAAAAUGUACUUUUUUUUUUGGUAGUGAGCUAUAAAAUGAAUUGGUAGUUAAUUUAGGAGAAAACUUAGGUACAAUUUCUUAUGUGCUUUUUGUAUAGUUCUUAACUAAAAAUACAUUUUUUUUGGAUAUAACAAACUUUGAGAAAAUUAUGAAUUUGAGGAAAUUAUGGUAAAUUUAGUUAAGAACCAUACGAAAAGCACCUAAGGAAUUGUACUUAAGUUUUCUCCAUAUUAAAUCUCUUAGCUACCAUUUGACCUUGACCAUUUAAUUUUUAUUAUUUUUUAUAAAUAUAUAUAUAUAUAUAUAUAUAUCAAUAACAAUCACUUCUUUGAAAAAGAUAUUUGUCUGAAUACAACUAUAUAAAACAUAUUUCUUUUACAAAUUUAUCUUCAUUUUUUUAUACUUAUUUUCUCCCUCUCUUAUAUUUUUUGAAAAGUUACUAUAACCUCUUUUCAUUUAAAGACUCUUUUAGACUUUUUUAACCUGGUUUUAAAAAAAAUUAUAAUAAACAAGCACAAUGCUCUUUAAUUUUUUUUUUUAAGUUAUAGCAAACCCUUUGGGGCUUGUUUGUUACGAAUUAAAAUGAAAAUAUUAUUGAAAUUCAUAAUUUAGUGAUUUUUAAAAUUUUUAUAAAAAAAAUCAUAAUCUAUUUUGUGUUUGCUUAUUGUAAUAAAAUCAUUUUUUUAAAUAAUUUAAUUUAUUUAGAUAUAUCAAUAUAAAAGGAACUUUUUUGUUACAAAAUCACAUCAAUCUUUUAAAAGUUAUUUUCUCUCUCGACUAAAUAGGAUAUUUUGUUACAAAAGACACAGAAAGGUUAACAUAUGUCGAGAUAUCAAAAAAUUAAGAUGGGGCAAAAGUGUGUUUUUACUGAUUAUUAACUUUGAUAAUUAGAGAAAGAUAAUAGAUUAGUGUGUUUUAAGUUGAAUUAUAGGAAAACUUGUUUUAAUUGGGAUAAGAUUAAGUUUGUUUGUUGUUAAAAAAAAGAUUAGGUUUGUUUGUUCUUUAAAAUAAGAUUAAGUUAGUGUGUUUGAUUGAGUGAGUUUGUUUUAGUUUGUUUUUAAGAGAGAAAAUAGAAGGUGGUUGAAGUGAAAGACAUAAAAGAAUAUAAUUUUGAAGACAUGUCAAAAAAUUAAGAAGAGAUAAAAUUGUAUUUUUUAUGAUCAUUAAAUUUCAUAAGUCGAGAAUAGAUGACACCUACAUGAAGCAACAGCCUAGAAAAAUCCUAACUAUCAACUUCCUUUAACCGUUAUUCGUUAUCAAAGCUUACUUCCCUCCUAAGUAAACGCUAGCGCCUACUAAAUUAAAUCUCAAUCUAGUUAUCCACUUAUUAUAAUCCCCUUUUUUUCAGUAAUCGUAACCACUAUAUAAAGACUCACUCAGCACCCAACUUAACAUAUCAUAACAUACCAUACUACCAUCAAGUUCAAGUCAGAAGAAGAAGUCAUGAAUCAUCGUAACCAAACUUUCAUGCUGUUCUCUGUCCUUUUCCUGUUCUUCUCUGUCGACUUGGCAUUCUCGAUGCCGAAGGAUAGAGAAGAUCCAAUAAUCCAGCAGGUGGUCGAUAAGGGAGGAGCUGAGUAUCAAUUUAAUGAAUUCAAGCAAAGGUUUGGUAAGGUUUAUUCCUCCAAAGAUGAACAUGAUUAUAGGUUCAACGUCUUCAAGUCUAACCUUCACCGUGCUAAGAGACAUGGGAUAAUGGAUCCUUCAGCAACUCAUGGUGUUACAAGAUUCUCCGAUCUUACUCCGAGGGAGUUUCGUAAUAGCAUCUUGGGAUUAAAAGGAGUAGGGUUACCGAGACAUGCAAAAGCUGCACCUAUUCUUUCGACCGAGAACCUUCCUCGUGAUUUUGAUUGGAGAGAAAAAGGAGCGGUUACCCCGGUUAGGAAUCAGGUAUAUAUUGUUUCUAAUUAUGAUUAUUAUUGUUGCUGUAAUUUGUUUAUUGUUUUGUUUAAUAUUUUUAUUUUGGAUUUGUAACUAUGAAUUAGGGUUUCUGCGGUUCAAGUUGGAGUUUCAGUACGAUUGGUGCACUCGAAGGUGCUCACUUCCUCUCUAGCGGAGAACUUGUGAGUCUUAGCGAGCAACAUCAUGUUGACUGUGAUCACGAGUACAUUCAAAAAUAUGGUGGGCUGAUGCGAGUGGAGGACUAUACUUAUUAUAAGACAAACACUGCACGAUCGGUGGCGGCAAAUUUCAGUUCUAUUUCGGUUGAUGACAACCAAAUCACCGCCAAUCUCGUUAAACAUGGACCUCUUGCUGGUCAGUAAUACUCUAAACAAUUUGAAUUGUAAUUAUUAUUACUAUUAUUUUCUUAUAAUUGUCUAAUUCAAAUGUUCACAAAUGCAGCUGCAAUAAACGCGGUAUACAUGCAGACAUACGUGGGAGGAAUAUCAUGCCCAUACAUAUGUACAAGGAGGCUGGAUCUUGGAGUUUUGCUUGUGGGGUAUGGUUCUGGAGCUGGAGCUGAUAUGAAGGAGAAGGAGAAGCCGUAUUGGAUCGUUAAAAACUCGUGGGGUGAGACCUGGGGAGAGAACGGAUACUACAAGAUUUGCAGAGGACGAAAUAUCUGUGGAGUGGACUCAAUGGUUUCUACUGUGGCUGCUGCUCACACUACUACUCAGUGACAGUAGUAUGAUUUCUAUCUCAUACAUGUACCAACCUUCAUUUCAUUUCAAGACUUGUUGAAUAUGAUCAUCCAAUGGUUGGCCUUCCUAUUCCUUGCACCGAAGAUGUCUUCCAGCACAUAAUGUCUCGCUUGUAAAGCUCACACUAUUGUUGGAGACUGGCAUAGUUUACUGUUAGUAGAUCCAUUUUGAACAUGAGACAUCUUAUCAAAUUGUAAAGACCCUACAGAGAUAGGAAAUGUAAUUAUCAUAAAAAUGAUAGAUUUUGACUAUGCAUUUUUCGUUUGAUGAAUAAUGACAAUGAAUUCGACUUUUCAAGUAGCUCCUAUGUUUUUUGUUUGUUUUAUGUUAAAAUUUUCACUCUUCCUUGCAGUCAGACCUUCCAAAAUAUAAGCAGGACUGCUUGGUAUCAGAAAAAACCGACUUGGUGUUCUGAUAAAUUUCAAAGCACGAACAGUACACAUGAAAGGGCAGAACCGUUGUAUUUUUGUAUGGCUCAAACAUGAAAGUUAAAUUUCAGGAAAAAAAUUAUUUUAAUAACUAUAUAAUAUAGAUAAGAAAUUUAAGAUUUGGAGUGCCAAAGUCCCAAUCAUAGUUCCCUUCAUAGGCAAGUGCACAAUAACAAUGACUUAGAAUUGAGGUUAGUUAAUCCCUUGAAUAACACAUUCUCAGUCUACAGCAAAAACUUGUUUUGCUACCUUUGAUGCAUGGUUUAUCUGUAGUCCAUGACUGUAUCUUUUCUACUCUCUAAGUUUUGUUUACUGAAAUUUUAGAUAUACCUCUAAAUUUCCAAAAUUUAUUGAUCAGUUUGUACUUAUCAGAUUUUGAUGCUAGUUGUGGUUAAGUUUAAUUGAAGUUUCUCUACAAUUUCAAAUUUUAUCAUUCUAUUUUUUAAUUAAUUCCAGUGGCUAAAAUAGAAAAUAAAUAAAAAAAUUCUAAUCUAACAAGUACUUCAAGAAACCAAAUUCACUUUACAAUGGACUUGUUUGAUACCAAAUUCAGGUUGUUUAUUUGGCACAACUAUGGGACCAACAUGUCUACCAAUUUCCAAUUUCCAAAUUCAGUUUGUGUUAUUAUCUUAUCUCAAAUUCAUUAUUUUGUAGCUAUAUGGUAGAUUUCAUGGGUCAUAUAUUUUGUAACUCUAGGAUCAACAUGUCUAUCAAAUUUGAGGAACCUAUCUGAUAGAAUAUUGUCAGAAAAUUUUGGCAUUCUCUUAUCUCGAAUUCUCUAUUUACUAGUUAUCAUGUAGACAUAGAAUAUUUUCAGAAAUUGUGGACUUCCCUUAUCUCAAAAUCCAUUGUUUAGUAGCUAUAUGGUCGAUUUCAUGGUUCAUAUAUCAGAGCCUAAUUUGAGGAAUCUAUGUGAUAUGUCUUGAACUUGUCAUGUUGCAAGAAUACAAUUAUUGGCUUAUUGGCUGUAAAGUCUCCUAUAUCUUUCUAUAUAUACUCAUCAUUACAUUCUCAAGCAGCAUUACAAGUCACAAAUACAAUUUCAAAAGUUUCUUGCUUUCAUACACAAGCUGUUGUAUUCAUCGUUAUUGUGUUGCAACUCUUAAUAACAAUAUGGGAUUCCGUUUACCUGGUAUUAAAAUGUCAUCGUCUUCCAAGGCUGUGGAUGAAGUUUCAAACUGAAGCUGUUUGUGAUUUCCAUUUUAUUAUUGAACCAACCUUCAUUUCAAGAAUAAUAAUUAAGCCAAUUAGCAGAAGAAUUCUAAGAGCUCACAUCUCGCUUCAAUGUUAAAUCUCACAAACUCUAACGAAGACUUACAUAGAUAUUAGUUAGCUAAGACUAAUUGUACAUCAGAUAUCUUCAUUUUUCAUUCUUUUCUUAAUGGAAAUGACAGCUAACUGAGAUAGUUAUGAACAGAGAUUUUUGACUUGUCGGUCAAAUUUCAAAGAACUCUGUAUACAUCUUAUUUUUGCACAAAAGAUUAUAUAUAGAAACAGAACCCUUUUUACAAAUUCUCUCUUGGUUUUCUUUGUUUUAUUACUGCUUAUUAUAUCUGCUUUUCUGUGUGUAUAUAAACACCAAUUUUCAUUGGUCUUUGAAACUAGCUCAAAAGUUUAUUAUAAAGUUCGAGCCAACACAAAUGUAUCCUAUGUGGUGAAGUUUUCACCCAAAACCCCUAGUUUCAGACCCAAAAGCCCUAGCUAUCCAUUUCACCUGAAAUCCCUUCGUCUAUUAACCAUUCCUUGAAAGAAAGGCACCUGUUUGUUUGCGGUUUGAAAAAGGUAUGAAUGAGAUGCACGCUUGUAAUUUGUACCAUCUAUUGUCUGUGCUAGUCAGAGGAUGAUAUAAAGGCUCGGCGAGACUGAAAAGAGGAAGAUCUAUCAAUUAUGUCAAGGGACAACUCUUCAGUCUAGUUGAUUAUAAGAAUAAAUUACUCUUAUACAUUGAGUAGUUGAUAAAAAUGUUUUUUUGUCUUGUUCAUCCAUUAGAAUAUUUCUGCCAAUAACAACAAACAAUGUUGCUUGCUAUAUUAAUUCAUGACUCAAUCAAACCCCUUCUAUAAACAAAACAAACAUUCACUAUCUUGCUUUGUCAUAGAGGACACACACUCAAUAAUCAAUAUUAAAAUAAUAAUAAUACUAACAACAUCUUCUUUGCGUUUUGAACUAUUAUUUAUAGUCACAUUGUGAAUUGUACGAAGCUUAAGCCUUGAACCAACACAAAAAAGAAGAUGGAAAUAAACAAAGUUCCAGAGGUGAUACUAAAUUCAGGGAAAAAUAUGCCAAUGAUAGGUUUAGGGACAUCAACAAGUCCCUCUCCACCACAUGAAGUCCUCACCUCAAUUUUGGUUGAUGCCAUUAAAAUAGGCUACAGGCAUUUUGAUACUGCUUCUAUCUAUAAUACUGAAGAACCUCUAGGCCAAGCUGUGUCAAAAGCUUUAGAGCUAGGCCUCGUUAAAAAUCGCGAUGAACUGUUCGUUACUUCCAAGUUAUGGUGUACUGAUGCUCACCAUGACCUUGUUCUCCCAGCUCUCAAAUCCACUCUCAAGCAAGCAUAAUUCUCUUAACCUUUUUUUCUUCUUCUUUUAAGUUUGUGUAUUUUAUUUGUCUAAUAUUGUUGUUUUGGUUUUUUGGAUUGAAAUUUUUUAGAAAUCUGGGAUUGGGGUAUGUGGAUCUCUAUUUGAUUCACUGGCCAGUAAGGUUGAAACAAGACGUUGAAGGCCAUAACUUUAAAGGUGAGGAUACAAUUCCUUUUGACAUAAAAGGAACAUGGGAAUCUAUGGAAGAUUGUUAUAGAUUGGGCAUAGCAAAGUCUAUUGGUGUCAGCAACUUUGGUAUCAAAAAGCUCUCCAUGCUCUUAGAAAAUGCCGAAAUUGCUCCUGCAGUUAACCAGGUAUAUGAAUUUAGUACUACUUGAUUUGAUUCAUUAUGCCUCAGUUGCUUCAAAAUGGAAGAGCAUCAUACACGUAUCGUCAGAUAUUUCCCAAAACUUAUAGUAUCCAAUAAUUUAUUGUAAUUCUUUCGCAAAAUAUUUCCUUCGAUACUUUUUUACCAACUAAGCACGCAAUUGUCAUCUAGAUAUGAUAUAUCUUACUACUUAUAGACACAACGAGCAUCAUACAAAUUCAUAUUUGGAUUUAGGUGGAAAUGAACUCAUCAUGGCAUCAGGGGAAACUUAGAGAAUUCUGCAAGCAGAAAGGAAUCCAUGUGAGUGCAUGGUCACCACUAGGAGGCUACAAACUAAGUUGGGGUUCGCCUGCAGUGAUGGAGAAUUUGAUUCUGCGCAAAAUUGCUGAGGCUAGAAAGAAGAGUGUAGCCCAGGUGCAGUUGAUUAUUUUAUUUCAAAUUAUUUUUAAUGAUAACUAUGACCUAUGUUAAUUCAAUUUAGAUUUUAAUGAAGUUUUAAAAUAUGCAGCCCUGUUUUAUAAUUCAAGUUUUUUUUUUCAAUGGUCAAACUUUAGACUUAGUCAUAGAAGUGCUAAUGCCACAUCAUGAACCUUAGAUUGUUAUGUGAAACAAAUAAAUAGUUUUAUAUUGAAACUUCAUAAAGUCAUACAUAUACCACUGUAUUGAGAUUACUGUUACAUUGAUAGUCUUUCUCUAAUAUUGACAAAUAUUAUACAGAUAGCACUAAGAUGGAUAUACCAGCAAGGGGUAAUUCCCAUUGUGAAGAGCUUCAACAAGGAGAGGAUGAAACAAAACAUUGAAAUAUUUGAUUGGGAAUUGAACCAAGAAGAAUUAGACAAAAUUAAUCAGAUUCCUCAAUGCAGACUGCUAAAGGCAGAAAUGUUUGUAUCUGAUAAUGGACCUUACAAGUCAUUGGAAGAGCUGUGGGAUGGCGACCCUUAAGCGAAUUCUUGUUUAAAUAUUCGAUGGGAUCAAUGCAAGUGUAUGUACUGAAUAAAUUAUUGUUUAAAUUCCUUAUGCAAGUGAAAUUUUAACUUUGAUUAAUAUCGUUAAUUCCUUAGUAUCGUUAAUUCCUUAGCUGACAUUAAAUAAGAGAAAACACUAAGAAGGAUUUAGUUACUAUUCAUGAACUAGAGAAUCAAUGGUAUGCUAGUUUAUUCUUUUCAUGUGUAUCUUUAGCUGAUUAAGCUUUUACGUCGAUUGGAUAAAUGACUUAAGAAUUUUUUAUGGAGUGGUGAUAUUUCCAGAAGGAAAAUUCUGUCCUGUUUCUUUUGCAGACCCUCGGCUUACCAUGGGAGGUGGGUGGCCUUGACCUGCGUUCUUCCACUACGUGAAAUAAGGGAUUUAGCCUCAGUCAUUUGGGAUCAGUCGCACCUGACUAACGUCAAGCAACAAAUUAUGCGCUAUUUCCCAUCACUCAAAUGUAGAAUAGCGCCUACAACAAAUACGUGGUAUGUAUUAGCCAAAAAAUUGGUUCGAGCCAACACAAAUGUAUCCUAUGUGGUGAAGUUUUCACCCAAAACCCCUAGUUUCAGACCCAAAAGCCCUAGCUAUCCAUUUCACCUGAAAUCCCUUCGUUUAUUAACCGUUCCUUCAAAGAAAGGUACCCCUAGUUCAACACAAAUGUAUGAAUGAGAUGCAUGCUUGUAAUCUGUGCCAUCUAUUGCCUGUGCUAGCUAGAGGAUGAGAUAAAGGCUCGCUGAGACUGAUAAGAGGAAGAUCUCAUCAUAAGUGUAGUUGUUCACAGAUAACAGUUAUGUCAAGGGACAACUUUUCAGUCUAAUUGGUUAUAAGAAUAAAUUAGUCUUAUACAUUGAGUAGUUGAUAAAAGUUUUUUUUGUCUUGUUCAACCAUUAGAACAUUUCUGCCAAUAGCCAACAAAAAAUGUUGCUUGCUAUAUUAGUUCAUCACUCAAUCAAACCCCUUGUAUAAACAAAACAAACAUUCACUAACUUGAUUUUUCAUAGGGGACAAAUACUCAAUAAUCAAUCUUAAAAUAAUAAUAAUAACAACAACAACACCAACAACGUCUUCUUUGCGUCUUGAACUUGUAAUAUAAUGGAAUUGCUUGCCUUUUCAUUAUGUGAAUAGAAUAUCUGUAUACAUGUGCAGGUCAACUAUCUAAUUAUGAUACAGCAUAAUUACAGGAAAAUAAUUAUAACUAAUUAUGACUAAUAUUCUAUUCUAUCAGAACUAUCAUCAAUAAAUUGUAUGAAGCUUAAGCCUUGAAAUCAACAAAAAUAAAAAAAGAUGGAAGCAAAGAAAGUUCCAGAGGUGAUACUAAAUUCAGGGAAAAAGAUGCCAAUGAUAGGUUUUGGAACAUCAGAAAAUCCCUCUCCACCACAUGAAGUCCUCACCUCAAUUUUGGUUGAUGCCAUUGAAAUAGGCUACAGGCAUUUUGAUACUGCUUCUGUCUAUAAUACUGAAGAACCUCUAGGCCAAGCUGUGUCAAAAGCUUUAGAGCUAGGCCUCGUUAAAAAUCGCGAUGAACUGUUCGUUACUUCCAAGUUAUGGUGUACUGAUGCUCACCAUGACCUUGUUCUCCCAUCUCUCAAAACUACCAUCAAGCAAGCAUAUUUCUCUUAACUUCUUUUUUUCCGCUUCUUUUACGUUUGUUAUUUUUAUUACUUGUCUACUUUUAUUUUUGGGUUGAAAUUGUACAGAAAACUGAAGUUGGACUAUGUGGAUCUCUAUUUGAUUCACUUUCCAGUGAGGUUGAAACAAGAUGUUGAAGGCUAUAACAUUAAAAGUGAGGAUAUAAUUCCUUUUGAUAUAAAAGGAACAUGGGAAGCUAUGGAAUAUUGUUAUAGAUUGGGCUUAGCAAAGUCUAUUGGUGUUAGCAACUUUGGUAUCAAAAAGCUCUCCAUGCUCUUCGAAAGUGCCAAAAUCUAUCCUGCAGUUAAUCAGGUAUGACUUAAGAGAAUUUAGUGCUAGUUGAUUUGAGGAAUUAUGACGUAGAGAUCAAAUGCACUUAUUGGUUGCGUCUGUUAUUUCAAAAUGGAAAUGCAUCAUACACGUAUCCGAUACUCAUUCACUUGUUAGUUGGAUUUAGGUGGAAAUGAACUCAUCAUGGCAUCAGGGGAAACUCAGAGAAUUCUGCAAGCAGAAAGGAAUUCAUGUGAGUGCAUGGUCACCACUAGGAGGAUACAAACUAAGUUUUGGUUCGCCUGCAGUGAUGGAGAAUUCAAUUCUGCGAGAAAUUGCUGAGGCUAGAAAGAAAAGUGUAGCCCAGGUGCAGCUCAUUAUUUUAUUUCAAACUAUUUUCAAUGACACCUAUGUUUAGCCAAUUAAAAUUUUAGUGAAGUUUUUAAAACUUACAGCCUGUUUUUCUAAUUCUUUUUUUUUCUUUCUCAAUGGUCAAACUUUAGACUUGGUCAUAGAAGUGGCUAAUACCACAUCUUGAACCAACUCUUUAUAUUAUAUCAAAAUGUCAAACUUCAUAAAGUCGUACCUAUACUACUGUUACAUUGAAAGUCUAUUUCUAAUGUGGAUAUAUAUUAUGCAGAUAGCACUAAGAUGGAUAUACCAGCAAGGGGCAAUUCCCAUUGUGAAAAGCUUCAACAAGGAAAGGAUGAAACUAAACACUGAAAUAUUUGAUUGGGAAUUGAACCAAGAAGAAUUCGACAAAAUCAAUCAGAUUCCGCAAUGCAGACUGCAAAAGGUAGAAAUGUUUGUAUCUGAUAGUGGACCUUACAAAACCUUGGAAGAGCUGUGGGACGGUGACGCUUGAGCAAAUUCUUGUUUAUAUAUUCGAUGUGAUCAUGGAAAGUUAAUGUACUGAAUAAAUUAUUGUUUAAAUUCCUUAUGCAAUUGAAAUUUAACUUUUAUAUAAUAUCUUUGAUUCCCUAGCUGACAUUAAAUAAGAGAAAACACUAAGAAGAAUACUUGGAUUUAUUUACUAUUCCUCGACUAGAGAAUCACAUAUUUGUAGUAAAGUAUAAAUUGUUUUUCAUGAAUUAUGGAACAAGAGAAAAAUUAAGCAUAUGCCAGACAAAUAUGUCUCUUUGUAUUAUAUUUCUGCAUAUAAGUUUGUAAUACAACUUAGUUGAAAAUUUUCGUAAAUAAGUCAUAAUCUCUUUGUUCAUAAUCAUCUCACUCAGUUGUUUUUCUAUUUAUCUUUCACUGUCAAAAGGUAGACUAAAAUGAAAAAUAUGUAAGUGCCUUCUGUACAAUUUUGCCUAAAAUAAUCUAUGUCAGUUCCUUCAUCUGAAGAUAUUAGCACAGAUUCAAACGAGAAGUAAUAUCUAAGAAAACGUCUUCUCUGCAAGGAAUUGUGAGACCACCCAUUGGAUGGUCAUAUCCGAAUUGUUCCUCGGCUUGAUUCAAUAAUUCUUGAAAUGAUGAUUGGCUCAAGUAUGAUAUUGGGAUCACAAACCUCUUCAUUUCCUCUCCAACGUAUACUGCAAGAUAUCCCUUUGGCACAUCCACGCCUUUUGAAGAUGUUUGGUUUGCAGCCCUUCUGAUGAUACCGGUUAAACGAAAACCCAUUCUUGUAUGUGUUAUGAAAAGAUAUUGGUCUAAAAAUGGUAGACUGGUGUAAAUGAAGAAUGUUUCUGAAUCUCAAAUUCUUUGAACUGUGAAUAAAUUUGAGUUGGUUCUUAAUGCUUGCAGUCAUUAAUAUAUAUAGAUGAAAGGAUAUGUAAUAAACAGUCAGCAACUUGAAUGAUCAAUGAAGGAGGACCAUGAGAUUGGGAGUCAAUGGGAGCCAUAGAACUUAAGGGAGACAAUGACAUAUAAUAGAUCACAUGGUGUUGUCUUAGAUGAUUUUCUCAAAUUUUCAACAUCAAAUGUCAUAAUAAUAAAUAAUGUAUGUCCCACCCACCACCUUAAGUAGAGGCCAGCAAUAUAUAAAAUUAAAUAAGUUGAUGUUUAAACUUGAGAAAGUCAUCUAAAUUUUGUAAGAUCACAUGGUAUUCUACAAUUUUAUAAUUUUCAAAAAUUCAUCAAUCAAGUUUAAUUUAUUAGUUUUCAGUGCAAGUUGUGCUGAAGGUCAAUGAAAGUUUCUCUACAAUUUUAAAUUGCGUAAUUAUAUCUGCAAAUUAGCUCAGUGGCCAAAAUUGAAAAGAAAAAUAAAAUAUAUCAAAUCUAAUCCAAAUAUUACCGAAGUGGUUGGCAACUGACUUAACUCUAGGUCCACCAUGUCUACAAAUUCCAAGAGCUGAUGUUCUGGUUGUUUAACGAUAGUUUGACGUAGCUAUGUGAUAUGUUUUGAGCUUGUCUGCUAGAAGAGUGGGAUUAUUAGCAUAUCGGUUGGCCUGAGUUUUCAAGUCUGAAGUAAAUCCUGGAUAUAAUUAGACAAUCAUGAAACAAUACCAUGUGACAUCUCAUUGGCCUUUCUCUCUUAUGAAAUAAUAGCCCAAAACACAACCACAGAAUCCAUCAAGGAAUUGUUUCCACAAAAACUUGUAGAUCUAUCUAUAUAUACUCAUUAUGACUAUCUCAAGCAGCAACACAAUUCAAGUUACUCACAAAUACAAAUUAAAAUAUUUCUUUCUUACAUACACAAGAUGUUAGUGUGUUGUAACUCAUAAUAACAAUGGGCUUUCGUUUACCUGGUAUCAUUAGACGGUCAUCAUCUUCCAAGGCUGUGGAUGAAGUCCCAAAAGGCUAUCUUGCGGUUUAUGUUGGAGAAAAAAUGAAGCGAUUUGUGAUUCCAACUUCAUUAUUGAAUCAACCUUCAUUUCAAGAGUCGUUAAGCCAAUCAGAAGAAGAGUUUGAAUAUGAUCAUCGAAUGGAUGGUCUCUCGAUUCCUUGCAGUGAAGAUGUUUUCUUAGAACACACUUCGUGCUUCAAUGUUAAAUCUCAUUAAAGGAGACUUACAUAGAUAUUAGUUAGUUAAGACAAAUUGUACAGCAUACACUUUCAUUUUUCAUUCGUUUCUAAGCUGAAAUGCCAUCCAACCGAGACAGUUAUGAACAGAGAUAUUUGAGUUUUUGGUCGAAUUUCAACGAAUUUCUGUAUACAUCUUAUUUUUGCACAAAAGAUUGUAUAUACUAACAGCAACCUUUUUACAUAUUCUGUUGUCCAAUAAACAUGUAAUUUAACAAUGGCAUAGGUCAAAAGAAAACAUAAUUCUCACCGAAGGAUUACUAUUUGCUAGUUCUUUUAUUGGAAGAAGUAGGAGAACAAUUGCGGUUGUAAAAUUGCAAAAUGAAAUCGAAGAGCCUUGUAAUCAUAAGUUCGUCAGCCUCGGGCAUGUCAAAACAACCAUAUGUUCUAGAGGUGUCCAUCAAGAAUCACAAGGUUUUAGAGUAGAUGACUGACUUGGAGAAAUGAAAGAGAUUUGUACAAAAAAAAAAAAAAACGUAAUUAUUGUUUAACCGAUUUAAUCCCUUGUUUCAUAUGUCCAACAUAUGCUCAAAGAGUUUCAUUUUUUUUUUUUUGUAUAAAUCUUUUUGAUCUAUCCGUAUAUGGGUUAGUCAUAAUAAGUUAUCAAUCACUAUGACAUACGGUUGCUAAAGAAAUUUCUUCAAUUUUUGAUAAAUGUUUGCACAUUAUUAGCAAUCUGCUUCAUUGAUCUAUUUCCUACCAUUUCCUAAUGUCUUUAACAAAUAGAAAAUCAAAGAAACAAAGUAAAGGAACUCUCUUAUUUAAAACUCUUCUUGUUCCAAAAUCAGAAUAGUCUUCCUGGUUUUGGAGUCAAACAUAAUUGCUUCUUUCAUAAUAAGGCUUUCACAAAAGGAAAAUACUUUGCAGUUUCACAGUAUCAAACAUAAUUCUACAUUAAACUUGUUUAUCCCAAACUCUAUUAAAGGUUAGUUUUGUUAGCGGAAACUCUGCCAAGGAAAAUAUGAAAGAUAGAUCUCUGUCCCUUUGUAUUAUAUUUUGAAAGGGUGGGGUACAAUCUAAGACAAACACUUCAUGAUAUCUCAUCCUAUGCUCUCUAUUAUUUUACCCUUUCAUACAGCCAUUUAGCUUUGAAUUGGGUUUAAAGGAAAACCAAAGAAAUCUCAUUUGCAGCCUAUUGCAGAUAAGAUAAAGUCUAAGCUUAGUGCGUGGAAAGCUUCUCUUCUCUCUAUUGCAGGGAGAGUGACUUUGGUUAAGUAUGUGAUUCAAGGAAUGAUGAUGCACACUAUAUAAUCUGUACUCUUGGCCUAAUUCAUUGCUGAAGGAAGUUGAAGCUUGGAUCAGGAACUUUAUUAAUUUGGAGUGGUGACAUAUCCAAAAGGAAGUUAGUGACUGUUUCUUGGCGUAAAGUUUGCAAGCCCUACUCUGAAGGAGGUUUGGGAUUGAGUACACUUUGAAUGAGCUGCAAACCUUAAGUUCUGUUGGGAUCUCAAAAAUUCAAAUGAAGACUGGGCCAUUCUUCUAAGAAGUAAGGUGUUUAGAGGAAGCAAAGUAAUUUCAAUGAAAAUUGCAGUGUUAAGUCAGAGAUUAUUAAUAUCAAUGAAAAGUGCAGCUGGAUCAUAGGUAAUGGGGAAAAUAUCAAUUUUUGGCUUGAUCCGUGGCUUGACAACCUGUUGCUUCUAUUCUUAACUUGCCAGGCAACAUUCAUAGUAGUUUAAUAGAUAGGGUUUCUGAUUUUUUACCGGCACUUCCCUCAACAUGUUUUGGACUCUUUCCCUAACCUGAAUCAACUUGUCAUGCAAGUAACUCUCCCUAGUGAGCCUAAGGAAGACAAAUUAGUUUGGAAAAGAUGCUAAACAGGAGAUCUUUCUCUUAAAGAGGCUUUUUCAUUCAAAUAUGGCACAGGACAAAAUAUUUCUUGGGCAAAAACGCUAUGGUGCCCUGAUAUCCCACCUUCAAAAUCUUUAUUGACAUGGAGACUCAUGCACAACAAACUUCCAACUGAUGAUAACCUAGUGCUCAGAGGGUGUAACCUUCCUUCAAUGUGCUUUUCUUGUCAGACUUCCUCAGAAACCACCUUUCAUUUGUUUUUUUGAAUGUCCAUUUGCUAUAAAAUUGUGGUCAUGGUUAGCUUCUCUCCUCAACAUGCCUCUUCAGUUCAACUUUUUGGGAGAAAUUUGGUCAAUCUUAGAUCAUAGUUGGACUCCUCAGUGCAAAGUAGUGGUUAAAGCUUGUAUCAUCAAUCUUUUAAUAAUCUGGUACAGAAGGAACAACGUUAGAUUCCAGGACAAGGUAGUUACUUGGAGAACAACUAUUACCUUGAUCAUCUCUAAGGUCUCUUUAUCAGGGAACUUCGCCUCAAAAACUGCUGCCUCCAACAUGUCUGAAUUCAUAAUUCUGAAGACUUGCAAAGUCACAAUCAAGCCUCCUAGGGAUUCCUUAAUCAAAGAAGUUAUUUGGGCUCCUCCUAUGCAUUCUUGGAUUAAGAUCAACAUGGUGCCUCAAUCAAGAACCCUACUAGAGCUGCAGCUGGAGGAAUAUUCAGAAACUCUGAUGGGGCUUGCUUAGGUGGCUUCUCUCAUUUUUUUGGUAAUGCAAAUGCUUUGUAUGCUGAACUGUUUGCAGCAAUGAAUGCUAUUGAAAUUGCUGCUUUGAUGGGAUUCUCUAAUGUUUGGUUAGAGUCUGAUUCUCAGUUGGUGAUCCUUGCCUUCAAGUCCAAAUCUGUUGUUCCUUGGGGUCUAAGGAACAAAUGGGAGAAAUGUAUUCAUAUUACUCAUAGAAUGAGAUUUUGUGCCACUCACAUUUAUAGGGUUGCGGAUUCCCUAGCCAACUUUGGUUUAACUUUAUCUACUUUAGAUUUGUUUUGGUUUGAUAGCAUCCCUGACUUUGUUAGGAGGGAAUACAAUAGGAAUAUGUUGGGUAUGCCCAACUUUAAAUAUGCCACCUUUUGAAAAGGUUCUGGUGUUGUCCUCCUUUUCUUUUUAAUGAAAUGAUAUGAUGCUCUUUGCAUCUUAAAAAAAAUUAAAAAAAAAUACAACAGUAUAGACUAAUCCAUCGAGCGGUGUAGGAAAUCAUUUAUAAAUAUGAUUAAAUUUAAAUGUUUUGUUAUUAAUUUUAUAACUUAGAAUAUAAAAUAUAUUUUUCUCUUAAAAAAAAAGAAUAUAAAAUAUAUUUUUAAAUAAUCAUAUUUUAUCGACAUUAGUAAUUUUUCACUCAUUUUAAUUUUAUAUUUUAUAAUUUAUGGUUAUAUAAAUCAGAUGAACUAGUUUUUUUUCUUCUUCUAUUUUUUAUUCACAUUCAUAUUUAUAUUUUAUAAUUUUUCUAUUUUUAAUUUUAUAACAUAGGUUCAACCUUUUUAUGAACCAGAUGAACUAUAGCGGACCUUCACAUGCAAUUACUCGAACCGUGGUUAGUUUAUUUUUUCAAUAUAAAUAUAGUAAAAAAAGGAGGAUAUAGAUAUGGUGAGAAUUUUUUUUGCAAAAAGAAAUGGUGAGUAUUAUUGUUGUAGGUAAAAGGAUGAAUUUAUAAUACAUUAUAAAAAUAAGGGCUAAUGGUGCUUUACCCCCUGUAAUAUAGAUCAUUUUUUAUUUUCUUCCCUGUAAAAUAUUAUUUUUGAUUUACCCCCCUGUAAUUUUUUUUUUUUUGGAAUACCCCCCUAAUAGGUCAUAAAAAAACGAAAAAAUUCUGCAAAAAAUAAAUAAAGUCGUUUUUUUAUGACCUAUUGGGGGGUAUUCCAAAAAAUAUAUAUUUUACAGGAGGUAAAUCAAAAUAAAUAUUUUACAGGGGGGAAAACCAAAAAUGACAUAUAUUACAGGGGGUAAAACACCAUUAACCCUAAAAAUAAAGUACUAUGAUAAAUAUACAACAGCAACCAAGCCUUAUCCCACUAAGUGGGGUCGGCUACAUGGAUCAAAUGACGCCAUAGUGUUCUAUCAAAAUCAUAUUUGGAUCCAACUCAUUGACCUCUAAAUCUUUUCCAAUGGUUUCUCGAAUGAUUUUCUUAGGUCUUCCUUUACCUCUUUUAACCUGAUUCUACUCCAUUUGAUCUACUCUUCUUACAACGGCAUCUACGGGUCUUCUCUCUACAUGUCAAAACCAUCUAAGCCUAUUUUCUACCAACUUUUCUACUAUAGGUGCUACCCCCACUCUCUCUAAUGGUGUCAUUAUUCUAUCAUGUCUAGUCUUACCACUCAUCCAGCGCAACAUCCUCAUCUCCGCUACACUUACUUUACUCUCGUGUUGGCUCUUAACUGCCCAACACUCCGUACCAUACAACAUUGUCGGUCUGACUGUUGUCUGAUAGAAUUUUCCUUUCAGCUUAAGUGGUACUUUCUUAUCGCACAAAACACUUGAGGCUCUUCUCCAUUUCAACCACCCAGCUUGAAUACGAUGAUUUACAUCUGCUUCUAUUUCUCCAUCAUUUUGCACUAUGGACCCAAGAUAUGUAAACUGUGUAACUUGGGGUAUGAUAUGAUCUCCAACUUUCACCUCCAAGGUAUACCCACUUCUCCUUUUGCUGAAGUUACAUUCCAAAUACUCCGUCUUGCUUCUACUCAAGCGGAAACCAUACGCUUCUAAGGCUUGCCUCGAGGUCUCUAGCCUCCCAUUUGACUCCUCCCUCGACUCACCAAGCAAGACUACAUCAUCGGCAAAAAGCAUACAUCUCGGUGUUAACUCUUGGAUGUGUUUCGUUAGUACAUCCAAAACUAAAGUAAAAAGAGAAGGACUUAGGGUUGACCCUUGGUGCAGUUCUAUUGUUAUGGGAAAAUCUACGCUAUCCCCAUCAUGCGUCUUCACACUAGUGGAAGCUCCCUCAUACAUAUCCCAGAUAGCUCUAAUAUAGGCAAUCCUCAUCCCUUUCUUCUCCAGGGUUUUCCACAAAAUCUCUCUAAGUACUCUAUCCUACGCCUUCUCCAAAUAAGUGAAAACUAAUUGCAAGUCUUUUUUAUCCGUCCGAUAUCGCUCCAUCAUGCGUCAAAGUAAGUAGUUCGCUUCCAUAGUCGACCUCCGAGGAAUAAAACCAAAUAAGUUAUCCGUAACAUGAGUCUCUUUUCUUAGUCUUCGCUCAAUUACCCUUUCCCAUAACUUCAUGGUAUGACUCAUUAGCUUAAUUCCCCUAUAAUUCGCGCAAUUAUGUAUAUCCCCUUUGUUCUUAUAAGGUGCUUCUUCUCCACUUGUCUGGAAUAUUCUUCGUCUUCAUAAUCUCGUUGAAUUUUUUUGUGAGCCACACAAUUCCUUAUAUCGCCAAGACUUUUCCACACUUCGAUAGGUAUGUUAUCCGGCCCAACUUCCUUGCCAUUACUCAUCCUUUUCAAUGCUUUUUUCACCUCGUGCUCUUGAAUUCGACGAUAAUAGUUAUAGUUUCGGCCCUCCGCUCUGAUGUCUAACCUGUUAGAGUCUGGUAAGAUCUCAUAUCCUUCAUUAAAUAAGUUAUGGAAAUACAUUUUCCAUCUAUCCUUAAUAUUUCUUUCUUGAACCAAAACUCUACCAUCUUCAUCUUUGAUACACUUCACUUGGUCCAGGUCUCUUGGCUUUCGUUCUCGUCCCUUCACAAGCUUGUAUAUAGAUUUCUCCCCCUCCUUGGUACCUAAAGAUUUGUAUAAUCCUCCAUAGGGUCUCGCUUCACUCACCGCCUUCUUAGCCUUUUUCCUAGCUAUCUUAUAUUAAUCCCAAGUUUCGGCAUUUUUACACUUAGACCAAUCUUUAAAUCAAUCUCUUUUAAUCCGAACUUUACUAUGAACACUGUUAUUCCACCACCAAGAUUCUUUAGCCCUAGGUCCAAAACCUCUAGAUUCUCCCAACGUCUCUUUUGCCACCUUCCUAAUCUCGUGAGCCAUCAUCUCCCACAUAUCAUUAGCGCUUCCAUGUGGUUGCCUGAAACCUCCCUCUAAUAUCUUGCAGAGCCCCGCUACGGCCAUUCUCUUUGCGCUCCUCUUAACCCUUACAUCCAUCACCAUUACUCUAUGUUGGGUAGUUAAGCCCUCUCCAGGUAUGACUUUACAGUCUAAUUAGAUCUUCCUGUCUGUUUUCCUAAUAAGAAAAAAUCGAUUUGAGAACAUGAGGGCCCACUCGUGUAAGUGAUGAGAUGCUCAUCUCUUUUCCUAAAACAUGUAUUAGCUAUAGUAAGAUCAAAAGCCGAUGAAAAAUCUAAGAUGGAAUUAUCCCCGGCAUUUAACUCCCCAAGACCAUACCCCCAAUGCACGCCCUCAAAACCUCUUGAAACACUCCCUACAUGCCCAUUUAAAUCACCUCAUAGAAAAAUCUUUUCUCCUAAUGGGAUAUCCUGAAUUAAGCCUUCUAGCUCCUCCCAAAACUUGACUUUAAGGUGUUCUUCUAACCCUACCUGAGGUGCAUAAGCGCUAAUUACGUUAAAGGUCUCUUGUUCCACUACAAACUUUAGGGAUAUAAUCCGAUCUCCUAUCCUUUUAACAUCCACAAUAUCUUUCUUCCACUCGUUAUCCACAAUGAUGCCUACCCCAUUUCUCGAUCUAACUUCGCCUGUGUAUCAAAGCUUAAAUCCUGAACUAUCUACUUCUUUCGCCUUUUUCCCCACCCACUUAGUUUCUUGUAGGCACAUAAAAUUAAUCCUCCUCCUGGUCAUAAUGUCUACUACUUCCAUAGAUUUACCCACAAGAGUACCUAUAUUACAUGUCCCAAAACGAAUCCUGCUCUCAUGAACUAGCUUCUUUACCCACACCCGUUCACGAAGAUGUGGAAACCCUUGCUUAUUUUUCACUACAUCCAGGCGGUGAUGCAGCGGCCCUUGCUCAUUUGACAUUGUACUCGAGCUAUACAGCGUGUUGCUUCUAGGCAACGACCUAACAUUCACACUAUUUUGUAUUUGGUCCAUGUCAUAGAGAUUCGGCAAAGUUUUACGUUGGCUGUCGAGGCAUAACAUAACCUUCCUUUUACUCGGGCUUGGGAUCGACCUUGGUAGGAUUAAAGUACUAUGAUAAAUAUCUUAAAACAUAAACAACUAAAUUAAUUUUGAAUAAAAGAUGAAUUUGAAGGAGCAAAAGAAUAUUUUAGCACAACUUUUUACUCAUUAUUAUGUUGUUAGGGAAUUAGAAAGUGUGCUAGCUAGUCUUUGAUGUGAUAUGAUUACUACCAUUAGUUGUGGAAUUACAAAAGUUUAGGGGAUGACUACCGACUUGUAUACUUCUAUUAUUGGUGCAUCAUUGUUUUUCAUAGAGGGCUAUAUUUUCUACAAAACACUAGUUAUCCCUUUGAACCUUGAAACACCUAUGAAUAUCCUUUGCCAGAAUUUGAGGAAUGCUUGAUGAGAGAGGACGAAUAAUAGGUCAAAGGUCGGUUGAACUAUACGCAAGUUUCAACAAAGAUAAAAGUUGGAAAUUAUUUUUACUUUAUUUAUAAUGUUAUAUCUAAGGAGGGUGUAUUGAAUUAGGAUUUUAAAUGAUAAUUUUUGUUUAAAAAAGUUUUGAAGAUUUUAAAAGACUUAGCAUAAUUUUGAUGACUUUAAUUAUUUUAAAAGACUAUUAAAGAUUUCAAUAGAUUUAAUUCAUAAGGUUUUAAAGGAUUUAAAAUGAUUUUAUGGAUUUCAAGAGACUUCAGCAGAUUUUAUGAAUAUUAAUAAAUAAUUGAAAAAAAAAAUCAUAACACACUCUCUUUCACAAAAUCUCAAUAAAGAUUUUUUUAUUUUUUUAUGUUAUUUUUAUUUUUUACGGGAGAGAGAGGAAAAGAGAGAGUAAUAGAGAAGGGAGGAGAGAGGGAGAGAUAUUAAUAUCUUAAAAGAAAAAAACAAUCUUAACAAAUAUUAUGUUUUCAUGAAAGACUUUUUCAUGCCAAAAUUUCACUAGAAAAUUCCACAAAAUUCAUCAAAAUCUGAUUUAUUAAAUAAUCUUUCAAAAUUUGAAUGAUUUUGAAUACCACUAAACUUUUUUGUAAGUGAUUAAGAAUCUUGAUUGAUUAUAACAAGACUUUUUUUGACUUUUUUAAAUGACAAAAAAUUUUGAUUGAACAAUGCAAAAUUUUUUUUAAAUUGAAAAGAAUCUCAUUAUUGAAUAUCACAAAAUUUUUUCAUUAUAAAACAGUCUUUUAAAAUUCCUUAAAAUCAUGAUCCAAUAUACCCUAAAUGAAUGAGCAAUUUUCUGAAAAUAAAGUAACACAAAUUCAGCCCAUUUUACUUUCUACCAAGUUUUAGGGUUUUGGGUAGAAACAACAGUUACACUUUGUACCAAGUUUUCUUUUCUCGCGGCGGCGAUUCAAGACCUUCGAAAUGGGUAAGAACAAACCAAUCCUUUAUUCUCUCGUACUCAAUUUAAUUGAAUCUGAAUCAUUUAUUCUCAUUUUAACGCAAUAGCUAAAACAUAUGAGCUGAGGCAAAAAACAAAACCAGAUCUUCUGAAUCAAUUGAAGGAUCUGAAAGCAGAACUUGCUCUCCUUCGCGUCGCGAAAGUCACCGGCGGUGCCCCUAAUAAAAUAUCCAAAAUGUAUGCCUUUUCCGCUGCACUUAAUUGUAUACAUAUUUUCUUGUUUUUAUUAUAUAAUAAUGUUUGUUUUAAUUUAAAUACGCUGAGAUUCAGCCCUUAUGUAUCUAUCUAACUUUCUGCAGCAAAGUGAUUCAAAACAAAUUACUAGGAGUGAAUAGGCAAAAACCCCCUGAAAUUGUAACUUUCGUCAAAAACCCCCCUGAUUUUUAAGAAACUUGAAAAACCCCUUUGAAAUUAUCAAACGUCAGUCAAUUACCCCCCUCCGUUUGUUUUGGCUGUUAAAUGACUAUUUUUUUUAUUUCUUUUUGCUUUCUUCAUCUUCUUCCUUCCACUUUUUUCAUCAUCUUCUUCAAUAUUCAUAAAAAAAAAUCCAGAAAAAUUUAAGAAACAACAACCAUUAACAACAUCAUCAUCAACAUCACACACUUUAUAAUGAUUCUCUCUCUCUCUUGUUUGUUACCUUCUUGAAUUAAUCAACAACAACCCUUUGGAAUUCAUCAACAACAAAAUGAAUAAUAGAAAAGAUCAUGAACUUGUUGGAAAAAGAACAAGGUUUAUGAUGAAUAGCAUGAACAACAACAUCAACAACAACGGUUCUUCUCAUUCUCAUGAUGUUACUGUUCCAUCAUCACUCAUGUCUCCUCUUCAGAAUAAAUCACUUUUUAACCCUCAUUCAAAUGGAUUUCCUUUUUGGAGCAGCGAUGAGAUUACCAACAACAAUGAUCAUCAUCAUCAAUUGUCUCUUGAUCUUUCUGCUACGACCCUUUUGGAUAACAACAAUGAGCAACAAACAAGAGAAGUUAGUAAUGAGAUGAUGAUGAUGUUGUUAAUGGUUGUUGUUUCUUAAUUUUUCUGGAUUUUUUAUAAAUAUUCAUGAAGAUGAUGAAAAAAGUGGAAGGAAGAAGAUGAAGAAAGCAAAAAAAAAAAAAUAAAAAAAAAUAGUCAUUUAACUGCCAAAACAAACGGAGGGGGGUAAUUGACUAACAUUUGGCAAUUUCAGGGGGGUUUUUGACGAAAGCUACAAUUUCAAGGGGGUUUUUGCCUAUUUACUCAAAUUACUAGAUAUUUUUAGAUAUUUUUUUUUGUGUGUUUAUGAAUUUGAUUGUUUUUGUUAUUGUUUGGAUGCAGCAAAGUUGUUCGGCUUAACAUCGCACAGGUUUUGACAGUGAUUUCACAGAACCAAAAGACAGCAUUGAGGGCAGCGUAUAAGCACAAAAAGUACUUGCCUUUGGAUCUUCGUCCCAAAAAGACCAGAGCUAUUAGAAGACGUCUCACUAAGAAUCAGGUAUUUUUUUAUGUUCUACAUUGUUUCUGUUUGUGUUCUGUGGUAAAUAAGCAGAGAGGUGUGUCAAUAUUGAAGUGAAUAGUUUAUGAAGUUGGUGAAUUCUGAUUUUCAAAGCUUCUCUUGUUUUGAUCAAUUACUCUAGAGUGUCUUUUUCAUAUUGAACUUAUGGGAUUGCGUAAACAUAGCCGAAUUUUAAUAAAUCUAUAUUGUUCUACUAUCCUCUAUUUAGUAGAAAGUGUUGUCAAAUAGCCACCAUUGCAGUGCGGAAGUAUAGAAGAAUUUGAACAAACUGCUAUUUUCCGUGAUGUGCGAUUGACAACAUUGCAAAAUAUAGGAAUAUGGAACAUUUAUUCCCAUGAAAAUGGGCGUCAAAAAAGUUUCUAUGUAGGUGGGAAUACAUCCAUGUCUCUUUUAAAAUAAAUUUUGGGAAUAUUAUAAAUGUUAACCCAACAUCCUUUUUUAAAAGCUAUGAUAAAACAUCUAUCUUUGUAUUCUAAAGAAAGUUAUUUUCUGGAACAAGUCUAAGGCUUCUUCCAAAAUUUUUGAGAAUAUUAUAACUAUACAGAUUGAAUUUGAAGAUUUCAUCUAAAGCCUCCUUUGACACAAUUCUGAAUUCCUCUAAAUUAGGGGGGAUUUGUUAUGAAAAAAAAAGAACCCUAAAGCCCUUUUCCUCCCAAAGUACUCUAUUUCUUCCACUUGCUCCAUUUUUACCACUGCCCUCCCCUCCUAAACUCCUAAACACACCCUAAAUCUGGAACACUUAAAACAAACACGCCCUUAAGCUUGGAAUGUGGCAGAUUUGACUGUAAUGUUCAGCCACAUUUCUUCAGAAACUCAGAUUAAGCUUGCUUUGUUUAACUGGCAUGGUUUAGGUUAGGCCACAACAUGUGUUGCACAUAUUAAAAUGAAGACGAACAAUUCACUCAUUUUUUCAUAAUUGUUUAUGUGGACAAUAAAUAUGGAUCUUAACUUUAUGCACUAUGAGGGCCCCACAAGAUUUGUCAACAAGACCACACACCUUUUGUAAUAACUCUAGGGACUGGGGGAACUGGGUUUCGUUGUAGAGUUUUGCUGCAAUGGAAUUAUUUUAUCGAUGUGCCUUAUUGGAGCAUAGAUUAUAUAUUUGCCUGUUAUGACUGGUGCAAACCUUUUGUUUUUAUAGAACCUUAGUGUACCUGUUUUGACUUUUGUGACCAAUCUUUGUUGGUGAAGUUGUUUUGAGUAUCUUCUUUUCAUGAAUUCAUUGAAUUGCUGACUGCGGUUUCAUUGAAUAUUAUAAGCAAAAACUCAAUUGUUAGUUUCAUUGAAUAACUGAUGAAUAUGUUGUAUAAUAUUGACCAAAGAGUGUAUGAAUUAUCUUUGCGCCUUACUUUUCAUGAAUUGACUUGGUAUUUCUUACAGCUCUCUUUGAAGACAGACCGUGAGAAGAAGAAGGAAAUCUACUUCCCAUUGAGAAAGUAUGCCAUUAAAGCGUAAUGUUGGACCCUUUUUUUUUUUUUGUGGACAUUUUUCUAAAAAUAUUUGGUGUUGUGUUCUAUGUUUGUUUCCUUGAGUUUAACUUAUCUUCAUGAAAUGGAAUUACAAGUACAUUUGUUCUCAUUCCAGCUUCAGGUUUUUACUGCUUGAACUGUUUGUUUACUUUACCAUUUGGCACAAAUAUGUUUACAAAUAGUCGCAUCAAUAUAUAUGCAAGUAUGAUCGUUGUAACUUGAAUGACUAUGCGGUACGAGAGUCAUGUUGUGUUUGCUCCACUCUAUGUGAAUGCACGUCAUCGUGCGCUACUUCGGACAGCUCCAACACAGGACUAACGGCCUGAGGUAACCUUCCUUGAGGGAUUUCAUCCAUAACAUUAUGCAAUGCAAAGCUGAACGAGUUGGCGGAAACGUCGUUAUUAACGGCUACGACAUAAACAACGUUAUUAACGGGUACAACAACAUCGUUAUUAACGGGAGCUGACUGUUCCUGAUUGUUCAAACCACCUAUUGUAGAAGUUGGGGCUGUAUCAACAUGUUGAACCAUAUGUGUGUAUUUAGCGACAACAGUUUGAGUUAAUGCCUGUUCUUGGUUCUGCUUCUUUGUAAUAUAGAACGUUGAUCUAUACUACUAUGUAUUAUUGCUGUUGAAGCAGGGGAAGAACAGAACAUGUCCAUUCUUUUCAUGGAUAUAAGUUGAAUUGAAGUUAAGUUGUUUAAUUUGUUUGGUUUGUAAAUGGCUUUUUAAGUAGUAGCUGAAGGUAAUGAAGGCUAAAGGGAGUGUAAUUGUAAGAUCUUUCUAAUAUUGAGAGAGGGAAAAGAAGAGAUAAUGCAUUAUUAGGUCUCACUGUAAUGAUGCCUUGGAAGAUUUGGGAUUAAUCUCGAUCUUCAAAGUGCAUUUUCUCUUUAAUCCUUAUUUAUUUUCCUAAAAUAUGUAUCCUUUUAUAUUUUGUUCAAAAUUCAAUUAUCUCCUUUAUUUUUUAAAAUAUUCAUUUUAGUCGUUUAUCUGNACAACGAUAGACGAAGAAAAAUGUUAUGUGAACAAUAGUGAUUGAAUAUUAUGUGAACAAUAGUCGUUUUUUUAAAUAUUUACAUUGAAUGACUAUUGUGACUACUUGUUACAUAUUCAGCUACCAAAGUAAAUUACCCCAUAAUAAAUUUGUAUCGGAAUUUGUGUAUUUUAUUUUAUAUUAAAUAUACAAAUUUUGUUAUAUUUUUAGUUGCUUUUGUUAAUUUAUGUUUUUUUAUAUUUUCAAUAAAAAGUAAUGGAGUAUUUAGAUUUUUUUUUAUGUACAUGAGUCACUCUCUGGUUAAUUUUAUUUUGUAAAUUUUAUUUUCUAUUUAGCAUAAAAAUAUCACGUUGAAUUAGUUAUCAUUUCUUAUCUUUUAGCAUAAGUUUUAUUUUAAUUCUUUUUAAAUUUUUGUUUUGAAGAAGUCAACCUAUACCAUUGAAAUUGAGAUUGGAGAUAAUCAAACCUAAGACCUUGAGAAAAGCAUACUUCAAGGUCUCAAGCCAACGCCUAUUUUAUAGUUUUUUUUAAUUUAUUAUGCACAUGUGCUACAACAAUUUAUAAUUAAAAUAGUUAUUUUUAUGUAGUAAAUAGCUCAACAAAUGACAUCUAGAUUAUUAUUAUAAACAUUGAGUACGAAUAUCAUUACUUUCAUGUUUGCAUCCAUUGAUUAAAUGUGCUACAAUAUCAAUAUAUUUUAUCUGUCUGCAGGAGUUUUUUUUUUUUGAGGGAAUCUGUCCGUACGAGUUAACCUACCCACUUUACCCCUAUGAUGGGUUUUAUCUAUGCAUAUCAACUUAUAUUUUUUGUUAUCCCUAAUAAUUGCUACUUCACUAAAAAAUUGUAAAGGUCUAUUUUUUUAUGCAUUAAUCAGAUACCCUUUAAACGCAAGAGAGGAGUUAGAUAGGGAGAUCCCCUCUCCUCUUCUUUACUGCAUUGUUGAGGAUGUUUUGAGUCGAAACAUCUCCAAACUUGUGGAACAAGGCAAGCUUAAUCUCAUCAAAGGCACCAGAAAUGUUCAAGUUCCUUCUCAUUCUCUUUAUGCAGAUGAUAUAAUGAUCUUUUGCAAAGGAAAACUAUCUUCAAUUAAUGCCCUCAUGGAUUUGUUCAAUUCUUAUGCUUUGACUUCAGGUCAAUUUAUUAAUCCCUCUAAGUCUACUGUGUUUUAUGGCUCAAUUUCAAAUGCAAGGCUGGAGCAGAUAACCAAUCUUAUUGGUUUUAACAAAGGCUCACUCCCAUUUUCUUAUCUUGGAUUACCAAAUUUUAAAGGAAAACCAAAGAAAUCUCAUUUGCAGCCUAUUGCAGAUAAGAUAAAGUCUAAGCUUAGUGCGUGGAAAGCUUUUCUUCUCUCUAUUGCAGGGAGGGAGAGUGACUUUGGUUAAGUAUGUGAUUCAAGGAAUGAUGAUGCACACUAUAUAAUCUGUACUCUUGGCCUAAUUCAUUGCCGAAGGAAGUUGAAGCUUGGAUCAGGAACUUUAUUAAUUUGGAGUGGUGACAUAUCCAAAAGGAAGUUAGUGACUGUUUCUUGGAGUAAAGUUUGCAAACCCUACUCUGAAGGAGGUUUGGGAUUGAGAUCCUUGUACACUUUGAAUGAAGCUGCAAACCUUAAGUUCUGUUGGGAUCUCAAAAAUUCAAAUGAAGACUGGGCCAUUCUUCUAAGAAGUAAGGUGUUUAGAGGAAGCAAAGUAAUUUCAAUGAAAAUUGCAGUGUUAAGUCAGAGAUUAUUAAUAUCAAUGAAAAGUGCAGCUGGAUCAUAGGUAAUGGGGAAAAUAUCAAUUUUUGGCUUGAUCCGUGGCUUGACAACCUGUUGCUUCUAUUCUUAACUUGCCAGGCAACAUUCAUAGUAGUUUAAUAGAUAGGGUUUCUGAUUUUUUAACAGAAACCCUACUCUUUGGGAGAAAUUUGGUCAAUCUUAGAUCAUAGUUGGACUCCUCAGUGCUAGCAGUGUACAUAGGAGAGGACAUGAAGAGAUUUGUGAUCCCUAUAUCAUAUUUGAAGCAAAAAUCAUUCCAAGAAUUGCUGAGCCAAAGUGAGGAACAAUUUGAAUAUGAUCAUCCAAUGGGUGGUCUCACCAUUCCUUGCAGAGAAGACAUUUUCUUGGAUAUCACCUCUCACUUAAUUUGAAUUAGCUCUUUGAAGAUAUCAUAGGACUGACGUAGUUAUUUGACCCAUUUUGUAGCAGUUUAGUUUCUAUCCUUCAGAAGAUUAAUCUUUUGUUGUUAUCAUAGUUGUAAAAAUGUUCAUCUCAAUGAGAAAUUUAUUAACAUCAUUUUCUCCAUAAAUAUAAAUCUGUAAAUCAAAUCAUCUAAUGGAUAAAUGUUCAGUUUAGAAUCUUUAAAUGAUAUAAUGGAAGAUUCAGUUAUUCAAAUAUAAAAUCAACCCCCCCUUUUGCAAAUAUAAAAUUAAAGUUAAAAGUAACUAUCAUGAUUUAACGAGAUCAUAGAUUGUAUAUAUUGAAAAAAAAAAAAAAAAACUGAAGAGAAGCAGAUAAUUAUUCAAUAAAAAUUGGUUAAGCAACAAGUCGCUUUGGCCGAGUGGUUAAGGCGUGUGCCUGCUAAGUACAUGGGGUUUCCCUGCGAGAGUUCGAAUCUCUCAGGCGACGAAUUCUUUUUCUAACAAAAUUGAGUUACUCUACACUUUACUUUAUAAUCAAAUUCUUUAAUGACAAAGUUGUUUUUCUUUUGCUUUGAAAUGACUAGUUACAAUUUUGCUCUCAAAAAAGAAAGUAAUUUCAAUUUUGCUGUAAAAAAAUGUGUAAUUUCACACAUGGGAGAGAUGAAGAACUAAGGGUGUGCACACUUCUUUGAGUUAGAUAUUGUAUUUGGGGUUUGUCGAAAUUCAAGAUAAAUUGACGCAAUUUUUAAUAAAUUAGAGACCAAGAAAAAAAUUGAUGUAAUUUUUAAAACACAUUCCAAGACAUAUCAAAUAAAAUGUGAAACACUUUUUUUUAAUAAAUCAAUACAAUGUUCUUCAACCUCAAUUUAGAACCACUGAUGAGGACAGAAGGGGCAAAAAAUGUCAUGACCAGCUAGAAAUCCAUUUUGGUUUGUAUCUCUCAAAUACAAAUUAUGUAAAACUUCUUUUCUUUUAAACAUUUUGAGGACAGAAAAUCAGUUACCCUUUUUUUUUUUUAGAGAAAAAAUCAAUUACCCUUGAAAACCUCAACAGAUCAUCAUAUACCAUCUCCUAUAUAUAUAUAUAUAUACACUCAAACCAUCCCUCUUUUUUCAUAACUCUUUGCCACUCACACUUACUUUACAAUCAAAGUUCAAAUUCAAAUCUAAAAACAAAAGAGAAAACAAUUCAGAAGAAUGGGUGAUUUACAGAUUCAACAAGAAUCCAUGUUGAUCCCUCACAAACAGAAACAAUCCAUGAUUAUUCCAACAUCAUCAAUGCUUCAUCAUCACACUCACAACAACACUGUCAAACGCCGUUCACCAUCAUCAUCAUCUUAUCACCAACCAUCAUCCAAGAAGCAUUCUUUUGACGCAAGCAAUCUCACCCGUAAUGGCUUCUCUGCCAUUACACUUCCUUUCAGUCUCCGUGGAAAUGCUCUUAGCCGCUGUGUCUCUGAUCCAUGCACCUUUCCGGAUCAAUCCAUGCCGGUAAAAGGGCCGUCAACUGCUUUGCAGCCUCUGCCUCCGAUCAGCAGAUGUAUAUCUGAAGUUAUUGAUCCUACUGAGGUUAAAGAAGCAGUAGCUCGUUAUUUGAACUGUGCUGAAAAAACCACCCCUGAAUCUGAUUCAAUGGUAUGUGUUGAAACUUGUGUUUCUUGCUAAAAAAGUAAACUUUUUUUGAUUUGGAAUAUUGGGUUUUGUUUGUUUUUUGUAGAGGCUUAAAAGGAUGAAGGAUCGGUUAAAAGAAAUGAAGAAAGUGUGGGAUGAAGUUAUGGAAGUCGGGGAAGAAAAUGAAAAAGAACAAGAAGAAGAAGAGCCCUCUCCUGAUGCUGAAGAUAAAAAAGAUGAAAAAGAACAAGAACAAGAAGAAGAACCCUCUCCUGAUGCUGAAGAUGAAAAAGAUGAAAAAGAACAAGAACAAGAAGAAGAACCCUCUCUUGACUCUUUUGUUUCUGAAGAUGAAAAAGUCAUAUCUCAGGUACAUAUCUUGAAUAUUCAACUGUGAUUGAGUUUUCUAUUGUAAUCUUCAAUGUAUUUGGUUCUUUAAUUGGUACUUACAAGUUAUGCUCAUAAAUUUAUAAGUUUUUUCUUGUUUUUAUGUAUAUCCUAGUUGCACUUGCUUAAUUACGUAGAAUCCGGGGGUUAUGGGAAAUUAAAGUAUUGAAUUUGAUCAUAGUUGCAUUUGUAAUUAUAGUUUAUGUGCAGCAAUUUUAACAACUCAAUUAUAUAGGAUCUGGGAUUUAUGGGAAGUUAUUGAAUGUUUCGUUGCUUGUUCACAUAAUUUCUCUUCUGUAGUUAAGCAAUAGUCAUAUACGUUAAUGCUAGUAAGUUGUCCAUCACAGAUCACGGAAAUAGUGGUUUGUUCCAAUUCAGAUUAAUAGUUUUUAUGCUGAACAAUUGAUUUUUGUUUUUGUAGGAUGAAUUGGGAAAUGAUUAUGAAGAAGCUGUUAGUGUGGAGUGGGUUGAUAAGUGUUUAAGCCUUACUUUCAAGUGUCCAUGUGGCAAGGGAUAUGAGGUUCUAAUCUGUGCAAACAAUUGUUACUACAAGUUGGUCUAGAAGAAUCAGUAUGCUUAUUUGUGACAUGGAUCACUUUUGUUUAUAUUCUGUUUUAGUUUGGAAAAAGCUUGUCUGUUUUCAUUUGUAGUAGCACUUGGUUGUCACUAGAAGAACCAGUCUAUAUUUGUAGAUCCUUUACAUUUGUUUUGUAAAUAAGUUGGUAUGUACUAUCUCAACAUUCUUUGAACAUAAUGAAUGAAAUUAUUUUUAUACCAUCUAUCAGUUCAAUUCCUUGUGAAGUAAGCAUUACUAGUUCCUUUAGACAGUUGACUGCACAGUUGGGUUUGCGACGUUAUUAUUGACACAGCUUACUACCUUAGCAAGUACAAAACCUAAAUUUACAUGUGUCAACAUAAAACCUCUGCAAAACAUGCUAUGAUGAGCUACAAAGAAACAAGAACAACAAACCCUUAGCAACAGAAAACACAUGCUAUAUUGCACUCAAUUCAAUUCUGCCUGCAUAUACAGUCAAAAGAGAGACAAGCAAAUAAGUCAGGAGGAGAGGAAACAAGCAAAGUGAAACAAUGAGGUGCAUAUUACCUCUUCAUGUUUCUUUAACAUUUUUAGUAUAUGGAAAACUCUCUUUUCUAUAAUAAAAUAUCUCACUAAAGACUAAAAUUCUCUCUUUUCUAUAUAAUUCAAUCUAAUUAAUUCAACCACCCAAAUUGCGUUGACGACAUAUCAACUCUCCAUGUGUCACGUCGUAAAUAUUCUGAUGUGACACCUCUAAGAAAACUCCACAUUCUUCUAUGUGAACGCAUUUAUGCAUCCAAUAGUAUUCACUACUAGUCAUUUGUCAUUUGAGUUACAAUAUAAUAUAGCCGUUGCAAAUUAAAGUAUUAUUUACUCAAAAUUCAUUGCUUCUCGUCAAUGUCAUUAUUGGUAUUUCACCUUUAUUUCUUUAGCAAUGCAAAACACAUUAAUUUAAUUUGAUGCAUCUUAUAGAAAUUCAUUCUUGGCUCACUUAGAUAUAAUCUCAUCCUCAACUUACUAUAUGUUUUCUCUUGCUUUUGUAAUCAUCCUUUCUCUCAAGGUAAUCAUCUUAGUGAAAGACUAAAGAGCCACAACCCCACAAAACCGGCUUGUGAGGUGAGGAUUGCCUCCACUUAUAAACACUUUGUCAGGAAAUCUCUUAUCCGAUGUGGGACUCUUUAACACCCUGAUUCUGUAAAGGCUUCACAUCAGGGUUCAUAGGAGUAUCAAUUGGUUUACAAUCGAGCAUCCUUGUUUCUUCCAAGAUAUGAAAAACAUAUUUUCUCUGAGAAAUAACAAUGACAGUCUGUGAUUGAGCUACUUCAGUCCGAAGAACAUAUAACAUAACCGACCUAAUUUUUUUUGGAAAGCGGCCGAAUAAAUGUUGUUUUUGGUCUCUAAUUCAUUCUUAGUCCUUACUGGUAAUAACAAUGUCAUUUACACAUAACACAAGAUAAAUGACUUUGUUCGAAGAUGAACUUUAAAAGAAUAUAAAUUGAUCAGCUUCACAAAGAAUCAUGCCAAAUUGUUGAAUAACCUUGCUGAGUUUUCUGAACCAAGAUCGAGGUGAUUGAUUUAUAUCCUCCUAAGCAAUAAAUCCAAGUGGUUACUCCAUAAAUCUCAUCUUCUAUCAGUCGAGAUUUCAAAUAAUCCACCUGUUUAUGUUGGCCUACUUUAAUAGCAAGGGCCCACUAACAACCAAAUUUAGAGUUUCAAGGAGGUAUCAAGCUAGAUUUCAUGUACCACUAGACUCCAAUGCAUUCAUUUCAUCAAUCAUUGUUUUUUGCCAUCCUGGAUGGGAUAUUUCUUCCUGGGCGAACUUAGGAAUUGAGAUAACGGAUAUUGCAAAGACAAAAGCAUAGUGGGAUUGAGACAAACCAUGAAAAUUCAAAAGGUUAUACAUAGGAUGAGAAUUAUAAGUAAUCUGUUUACCUUUUACGAAGAGUAAUAUGUAAGUCAAUCGAAGGAUCAGGUGGGACCACAGUUGGGCAAAGGAUUGGAACCGAACCCGUAUCACUAAAAGAGGUAGGAAGAUUCUCUUGAGCUAAAUUGCCAAAAUCAGUUGGAGCACUCUCUCGAACUUUGACAUGUCAACGUUGAUAAAUAAUACCAUAAUAAUGAAACUUAGAACCACUAUGUGACCGUGGAGGUCUGUGAGUACAGACAAGUGUUUCAAAUAUAGGAAUAGGUAGCACAUGAGUACUAUCAUCUUUUGCAGAAUCAGAUGUAGCUGGUGUCACAAGUAUUUUCAAAGAAUGUAACAUUUGCAGAGAUAUAAAAUGGAUGUGUAGAUGGACAAUAACAUUGAUACCCCCUUUAAACUCUGAACUACCCCGGAAGCACACACACUUGAUAAACUGUGCCGACAAUCUUUCGCGACCAGGAGAUAGAUCAUGAACAAAAUAAGUGGAUCCAAACACUCGAAUAGGAACAAAAUAAAGGAGGUCCUUAUGAAACAAGUGAAAUGUGGAAUCACAUUAUCCAAUAUUGAAAAUGACUUGUAGUUGAUCAAAUAACAGACGGUGAAAAGUGCAAUACCUCAAAUUUUGAAAGAAGCAUGAGAAUUGAUCAAUAAGGUACGAGCUGUAUCAACUAGAUGACGAUGUUUCCGCUCAGCGAUACUAUUUUGUUGUCGUGUGUGUGGACAACUAGACUUAUGGUUUGUGCCCUGAGAAGUCAAGAAGAAGUUGCAUCGUGAAGAAAAGAAUUCUUUGGCAUUGUAACUAACACUUAUAAGAGCGGGUAAUCGAAAGCCCAUUUUAUGUGCUUAUUUGGGAAAAGAAGAACAGAGCAAAGAUAUAAAUAUAUUAAGAAGGAUGUAACUAACACUUGACGUUGCCAAUGACUAAUGUUGUUUUUGAAGGAAAUAGCAAGUAUAUUUAUAAUUAUUGAGGUUCUCUGAAAAGUGAAAAUCCGAUUCCAAUCUAAAAUAUUAUUUGAAAGAGUUGAAAGUUAAAGAGCAUAAGAUAAUAUAUCAUGUGGCGUUGUCUUAAGAUUGCAUUUAUCGUACCCCACCUUCUAAGAAAAUGGCCAAUAUAAAGCAUCCACUUGCAACCAAAUGAGACUUUCUCAAGUGCAGAGCAGCCUCAUAUCUGUUCGUGCAUUAAUUACUACUUCAUAAUUAUGAAAACAUGCUUAGACAUGUUUUUUUUUUAUUAUAAUAGUGUUGAUGUCCAGAUGCUAAAUUAUACUUUCAAGUUGAUUAAUUAUAUGCUGGCCUCUGCUCAACAAGGUGGGACUUGCAUUAUCUAUCUACCACAACAUUUGAUGUUGAUCUUUGAGAAAGUCCUCAAAACUCUUAAGACAACACCAUGUGAUGUUUCAUAUGCUCUUGUCUGACCAUGACUCAAAUCUUAUGGCCCUCAUUCACUGAGCAUUAUAGUUGCCGACGAUUUGUUAAGUAUCCUUUCAUCUAUAUAUAUUCAUGGCUGCAAGCCUUUAGCACCAACACAAAUCAUUCACAUUCCAACUCUCAUUUGAAGUUCAAAAACUUGACUCUUUUCUAUAUACAAGUUUGUCUAUUUUAGACCAAUCUCUUCUUUUCAACACAUACAAUACGACAAUGGGUUUCCGUUUACCUAGUAUCAUCAAAAGGUCAUCAUCUUCAAAAUCUGUGGGCGUUCCAAAGGGAUAUCUAGCAGUGUACGUAGGAAAGGAGAUGAAGAGAUUUGUGAUCCCUAUAUCAUAUUUGAAGCAAAAAUUAUUCCAAGAACUGCUGAGCCAAAGUGAGGAACAAUUUGAAUAUGAUCAUCCAAUGGGUGGUCUCACUAUUCCUUGCAGAGAAGAAGUUUUCUUAGACAUCACUUCUAGCUUGAAUUGAAGUAGCUCUGAAGAUAUUAGAAGAUUGACAUAGAUAUCUGAUCAAUUUUUGUAUGAAAUUAGUUUCUAACCUUCAAACGAUUUCCACUUUUGUUGUUAUCAUACUUGGAUGUAAAACAUUCAUCGGAAUGAGAAAUUUAUAUACACUAUUACAUUAUUUCUCUAUUCCUUCCUUCCUCUUAAUUAUCAAUAUGAAAAUCGAUUGCUAAAUGUUCAGUUUAUGAUAUCUCUGACAAAAUGAAAAAUUC